UUAAUGUGAAUGUGGAUCGGGAAAUAAAGCCAAUGGUUGGAACAACUGCAUGUUGCAAUGAUUGUGAAGGCCACAAGUUAAGCAAUCAUUAGAAAUAUGUUUGAACUGUAAUGAAAAUGGCUUAUAUCUCCCCUGAAAUAGAGCAUUAUAGUAAUGGUCAAAGCAGGACCCUAUUGUAGUUAAUUCCCACUACAAUAGUUGUGAAGACCGCAAGUCAAGCAACUUUGAGAGUGAGUUUGAGCAAGAAAAGUUAUGGCCUAGCUUAACUCGAUCCAAUACCUUAGUAUCCCAAUAAGUCAGAUGACUAAAAAAUGAUACUCUACACCUAUGAGAAUAGAUUGACUUAGCAAGUGAGAUUUCUCCUCUAACCUCCACUCAACACCUUAUCUAUUUUACUUUCUAAACACUUUAAAUCACACACAUCAAUCUUUCCUUACUUGGAUGAUAUUUAGAAAUACCUAGCUAACAACUUUGUAAGAAAGCAACUUUCCCUAUGGGAUUAAUCCUAGUAUCCACUAGGCAAUAAUGAAAAUCUUUGCACUUAGAGAUUUGACACACUUUUGGUGCACAACCAAGAUCAACUACUAUGCUAAGCCUUUCUUAGAGAGAGUCUAGCUUUUGAACAUGCAUAUAGGCUUUUAGCCACCAAAAUUUCAAUAAUUUGAUGACAAAAGGAAUCGAGGGCAACGUGUGGCCUAUUAAUGGAAACAUGUAAUAAUGUGGGCAUUCAUAGGAUCUCCUAGUCAAACAAUUUGAUUGUUCUAUGAAAGAAAAUGCCUUUGAUUGGUACAUCGAUCUUAAAUUUGGUUUAAAAGAUAGUUGGGAACAACUUAAGUAAGAGUUCCUCAAUCGUUUUUAAGGUACUCAAUACAUUGUAAGCAUGAAAAAGCUCCAAAAAAUCAUUGAUCGAAUGAGGAUUCUAUCAUUGAUUGUAUCAAUAAAUGGAGAACUCAACUAUGAUGACAAAUUAUUCACAACCCAAGCUAUUAAGACGUGUACACAAUUAUUAGGAUUUACACUACAUUCUACAAGGAAUAAAGCCAAUAACCCUUAAAGAAUUAAGAACAUGAGCCCAUGAUAUGGAACUUAGCAUUUCAACUAAUGGAAAUAUGGCUCUAUUUUUUUAAGAUCCAAGAAAUGGUAAGAAUAAGAAAUACACUUUUAAGGGGUUAGAAAUCUUCUAUAAAGGCAAGUAACACAAGCAUUAUGAAUACUAAUACUAUUCUAGAAAAACUCCUAAGUAACAUGAAUGGGUAAAAGUCCAAAAUAAUUUACAUUUUUUAGGAUAGAACCCUUAAGAGCAUGAUAUGAUAUAAUAGAUUUGGAAUUCAUUAUUUAUUUGAUGAUAUUCUAAUUUUACUUUAAUAUAUUAUUAUUCCAUGCAUUACAACUUAUGAGGUUUUUUGCCUAGCAUCUCUUUCAUUGUAUAUGACUUGAGUGCAAUAGGAGUUACAUGAAAGUUCCAAGUUAUGGGUUCCUUAUAAGUAGAUGACUUAUUCACAGUUGGUUCAUGAAUUUAAGCAAUCCAUUAGAGAAUGUAAGACACCAUCUUCUAAUUGGAGGUCGAUGACUUGUUUUGAUCAUCAAGAUGAGUUUCCCAUAGUGAGUGCAUUUGUGUGCAUGGUUUAUAUAUUGGAUAGGAUCCACAAUGAGUCAUGACGUAAGGUUAUUGAGUAGUAAUGACUUCACCAAGUUGUUAUGUUGUAUUGUUUCUCAAUUUUGAGAGAAUACUUUGCUUAUGUUAAAAUUAGCAGUAGCUUUGGCCCACAAGUAAGAUCCUAAAGUGAUCAUAUAUCCCCUAUGGAUUGGGUUACUAUUAGUUGAAGUCAGUAAUAAUAGUUAUUCUCAAUAGAGGUAUCAUAAUAUCUCAUGAGAUUCAGUUUCCUUGGGUGAUUCUAAUGAUGUGUAUUUAGCUAUGGUCAUUGUAGUUCCUUAAGUGAAACUUGACAUUAGUUCUGAUGAGUUAACAUAUGUCAAUUGAUCACAUUAUAUGAGGAUUUGGAACUCAAGGAUUGUAGGUAAUCAUGAGAGGUUGAUAGUUUUCACCUUGUUAGAUUACAAAUACCAGUUCAUAAGGAGAUUGUAUACAAUGGAUAAUGAGUCAUAGGUUCAAACACCUAGUGUCUUGUUAUAAUAUACUUAGACUACUAGAACAUAGUUGACAUUUUGUAGUGGAAUAUUAAGUCAACUUUUGAAUUAGAUUUUGAGAGAGCUAAUACUAUCUUCUAGGUCUUAAUGGUCCCUAUUUGAGUUCAUAUACCUUAUAUACCUUGUUGGCACGUUUUAUGAAAGUUGAAUCAACUCUAAGUUCACCUAUGUGCAUAAGGUCAUUUUAGUAAUUAUGCAAGGUUGCAUAGAAAUUAGUGGACAACAUCUCUAGACUAGACUAAUUGAUUAAUUGGAACUUUAUUAGGUUAAUUAAUUAAUUAGGACUCUUUUUUGGGCUAAAUUAAGUGAUCUAAGCCUAAGAUGAGCUUUAGUCACUUAAGCCCACUAGGAACCCUAUAAAUACCCCUUAUAAGGUUUUUAUUCUUCUAUUCUUCAUUCACAUUCUAGAGAUAGCCCUAGUCUUUACCUUAAGAUACUUCUACUAUCUCUAUACCAAAGCUAAAGUCAUCGAGUAGAAGAUCUCUAGGUCUUCAAGGUCAUCUUCAACACUUAGAAUUUAAGGUUUGGGAACAUCUAAACUAAAUGUUAGAUUUUUAAUCCUAAAAAUCAAUUUUUUUUAAAAAAAAUUGGUAUUGCUUAUAUUGCAUAGAUCUUUAUUUAGGGUAUGUCAAAUAAAAUCUUACAAAGAGUAAAAUUUUGAUUUUAUUACAAACAAAGAGUAAAAGAGAAAAGAUAAUAGGAUAUCGAAGUACCUUUGAGUGCUUCAAUAGUUAAUAGAAGGAGAAAUUGCAACCCCAUGGGUGGAGAGAAUCUUUGAGUCCUCUAUUAAAGUUAAAAAGAGAGAAAGAGUUUGAAAUAGAGGGUUUUCUAUUUCUGUUUGAAAUAGAAUAGUUUAGAGAAGGUAACAAGAGUUAUAUUUAGUAUAUAUAGUAGCAGAACGGGCUAUUAUUAUUACAUCAUUCUUAGUGGAUUUUUUUUAUAAAUUUACCGAUAUUUGAUAAAUUAAUUUUUAAAAUACAGUAGAUUAGAAAAUAAUUUCAAUUAUAUGACAGUUUCGGACAUGUAGGAAUGUAAUGUGAAAAAAAAAAAACAUAAUACUUUCACAUUUUAAUAAAAGUUUCUGAUGCAAACCUCACGUCACUCAUUUCUCAAACCCCAAUAACCAUUUCUCUUUCCUUCUCAAACUUUUCCCUACACUUGUUGCUUACCAUCAAAGUGGAGCUCCUUGCAUUGACAUCAAUAGAAAUGAGGUGUAGGGCAAAUCCAAGACACUGCCACUCGCAGGUGUUAGGUAAGUUUUGUGGUUGUGUUCGGUGGUUUAGAAAGUGUAAGAAAGUUGAAAAAAAUGAAGUUUCCAUUAUUUUAUUUUUAUUUUUACAAUUAAUCUGAAUAGACUAAAAGUCACAGAAAAAGUUUUCAUUUUUUGUGGUUCCAUGUGUUGUGAUUCAUGUCUAUCCUAUUAAUCCAUCAUACACACCAAGUAAAGGAAUGCAUGCUAACAACACAUAAAUCUAAAAAUCAUCACUGAAAACACCCUUUUCAUUUAAUAUAGAUUCGAUUUUGUGGACUAUUGGAAAGUGUCUCUUCAAGAGAUAUUUUUAGUAUAAAUUCGAUUUUGUGGACUUUUGAAAAGAUUUUAUGAAAUUAUGGAAAUUGUCUUUUUUAGAGAUGCCUUAGUAUAAAUCCAAUUUUUUUGGAAUUAUGGAAAGACACCUUUAGUUUAAAUUCAAUUUUUUUUAAGCGUAUACCAAGUAUAUGAAAAUUAUAAAGGGUGUCUCUUAAAGAGACCUUUGAUGUGACAAAAAAUGCCAUAAAUUUGUAAAUAUUUUUCGAACUACCAUGUUUAAAGAAUUUUUUUAAAAAGUUAUUGUAGAAGUUAAAAAAAAAAAUCCUUUUUGGUCUCAAUAUAAAAAAACCCGUAACUAUAGCAUCCAUGCUUAUUAUCUUUGGUUGUGGUUUCCAAUAUAACUGCUACCGUAUACUUUAUCAAGAAAUUUUCCCACGAGACUUUCCUUCUUCACAUAUUGUAGCCGCAAAAAAAGUCUUAGUGAGUCUAUGUAUCAUCGUUGGUUGCAAAAAUUUUUUACCCCUGUUAUAGCCAUGUAAUAUAUGUUGUAUUUCUUGUAGUGACUUUUAGCAAUUACAUUUAUUUUCUAAUAAUAUUUUUUCAAAUAAAAUUUAUUCCCAUGCAUUGGACUCGUACCCUCCAUUGUGGCUAAUAAAAGAUAAUAUUAUUUUUUUUUAUAUCUUAAUGUCAUAGGGAAAAUGUGAGGAAUAACCAUUAAAACAAAUGAAAAACAAAAGUUUGAGGAAAAUAAUUUUUAAAAUAAUUUAAUUUUUUUUACUUUGAAUUUUUUUAUGGACAAUAAGAUUUCAAAGAAAAGAAAAUUUAUGCAUUUUCUUUGUUUUUUUUAAAAUAUAUUUUUCUUUUUAUUAAUAUUCCAAACUUGAUAACUUUAGCCAACUAAUUUUAACCAUACUCAACAAAAUAAUUAAAAUAAAAUUUAGGACUUUUCUACACACACACACACACACACAUAUAUAUAUAUAUAUUGCAUUGGCGUUGCAUAGUGAUUAAGAAAAAAAUGAUCAAAAUAGGAAAUUUAUAUUUAAAACAAAUUGUCAAGUGCAACCUAAGUGUAAACCCCUUAAAAGACCAAGGGUUCUUUUCAUUUGUUUGGGACCACCUGGGGAGAGAAUUUUCCAUUCAUUUUUUUGAGAUGAGAGGGGGACCCCUUUUCUGCCAGGAAGAAGCCGCAUGGACAGGUGGCUAAGGACAUGGCUGGCUAUGAGGGUGGUUGAGAGGCCAUGCUUGCUGAUCGAGAAACAGGAGAGUGGGUGAUAACUGUGACAAGAGGGUUUGAGGUUGAGGGGUUUGGAAUGGCAGCUAGGAGGAGCAGAAAAAGGGGACUAAGUUUUUUUUGAAAAAAAAUAAAAAUCUAGAGAGUUGAAAGAGAGGACAGAAAAGAUCACUGGGAGGAAAGCUGGAGAGAGAAAACAAAAAUAUGAGAGCUAGCUGGAGGGGAAGUUUUGAAGGACGUUGAGGAAAAAUGCAGGAGAAGAGUCCAAAGAGGAGGAAAAACAAAGGAAAUGGAACUGGCUGACGUUUUUUUUGGGAUUAGGAAGAAGGAAACUAGAGGAGGAAGCUUUUCGGAUAUGGGUUUUUUUUUUUUUUUUUUUAGUAGGGAGGUGAGAGAAAAGCUGGACUGAGAGAGAGAGCAACAUAUAAGCAAAAAAUGAACAGAAACUGAACGGGAGCACUCUCAAAUAAUGCAAUUCAGAAUAUCACCCUGGAAGCUCCAUGGUUUAGAUCUAGUGAAAGAUUAUGCGCUUACAUAAGUUGCAGUUCUUUGCGAGAAGUUGAUGCAUCAAAAGUUCUGUAAAAAAUUCCAUAGAAGCCAGCCAAAGGUCAUCACUCAGGUAUGUUCUUUGCCUCUCAUAUUUAUUAGGGUAUUUUGUUGUGAUUUUCAUUCAGUACUCAUUGAUUUAUUUAUCAAUUGUUAUACUUGUUUCAUUUUAUUAGUAGAGACCCGACUUUAGGGACUUAGAGGGGUGCUACGGUCUUUACCGUACCUUCCCGAUAAGUAACCUGAUCCCCGAGCCCAAUCCGGUUUUUCGCAAACCACCUUUUCCAAAUAAGGAGUCACACUUAGGGUUUUCUUUCUUAUUUUGUUUACUCUUUUAAAAAUAAAACAAAAAUAAGUGGCGACUCCAAGUCAUUUUCUUAAUAAAUAAAAAUCAUUUUUCAAAUAAAAAUCGAGCUCACCAUCGAGUGGAAAACGCAUGAGCCGAAAUACGGGGUCCACAAAAUGGCGACUCCACUAGGGAUCACUAGAAGGUCAAGCUUGAACAUAAAUUAAGGCAAAUGUGGCGUUUGAUUAGUCAAUCAGUGGGUACCCACCUUUCUUUGUGCGUGUAUUUAUUUGACUAUUGAUUACACAUUGAGAGCUCUUGAUAUCAUUACACUUGAUGCAUUCUUGGUUAUUGUAUUUGUUUGGGACAUUGACAUGUUGAUUAUAUUGAUUGAUCAUUUCGUUUUUCCUCACAUGUCGACUUUCCUGGUUGUACGAUCACUAUGCUCACCUUGACAUGUACAUUCUUCUUGUUGCUUAUCUCGUUCAUCUUGACAUGUUUGAUUUUUGGUUGUAUAUUAUCAUGAUUGUUAUGGAGCAUGCUAUCAUUGCCAGAUAUUCUUCUCGAUUAGCUUGUGUGUAGAUUUGGAUGAUAUAUACCUAUUCUGCUUGUCUGUAUGUUGCAUGACUGUCCUUCUUCUGCAUGAUUGCAUGUCGCUUGUCCGUGUGGGUAGCAUAUCUAUCCCCUUACCUCAAACUCUCUUGGUUUCGGUCAUUCCCUUAAUUCCGGUUCUCACUAUUGCAAGUGUGAGGCAUUCUGUGUGCUUGUUCUCUGACCGAGCCAGAGAUUAGGAGUAGGGUCUAGCGACGAGCUAUACUGAUGUUUGGGAGCAUUCUUGAGGUGUCCGACACACUGAUGUCGAUUGGAGUUCGAUCAUUGAAGACCUGUAUAGCCUAGAGCUAGGUUUUAUGGAUAUUUGUGUGGCCAGUGUGUUUCCUUUUCUGUUUUAGCUUCUUAGGGUUUUCAGAUGCACCCAUACCACUCACUGUGCACCUUAGAUCGUCAAUGAGUGAUCAUGGUUGUGAGAUAUGCCAGCCAUUAGGAGAGUUUUCACCAUAGGAGCCCCUUGGGAUGUCGAGGUAGUGCAUGUGUGGAGGUGAUGACCACCUUGCACGGAAGCGCCCCGUCUCUUCGGAGGCAUGCAAAGGGUUGCGUACCGUCGGAGGGUACGAUCGCUUCUGCUAGGGAUCCUUUAAAGUCCACCAUUUUUAUUUUUAGAGCCACCUUGACCUUGUAAGUUGAGCCAUAAAUCCUUCGAUUAGGACUCUCUCCUUACACGUGGGUGCAUCUAAGGGCUUUCAGAGCCUCUAUGGUCAUAGUUUGGAUUCGACACUCCCUCUUUUUAGUCUCUAGUUGAGAGUGCUCAGAGAUUGGUAUGAGUUUGAGUAUCGGUUGGAUCACCUUUAUCAUGUCGCCUUAGUUUGUUCUUUUCACUCGAUGAGUUUGUCAUGCUUUCUCCCUAAGGCCUUUCGUCUUUCUUUCUUGGCUCGACACAUCCAUUCACUUUGCUAUCACUUGCUCGAUGCUUUGGGAUAUGUUCAUUGAUAAGUUUUUUACACUAUACACCCAUCACAGGCUCAGUACCUCAUUCUUUGUUGGAUACUUGAUUUGAUUUUCAACUCGAUGCUCAUAUUUUCAUUACAGAAAGGUGAAAGACACAUUUUCACAUUCACACCUUUUUCGAGAGAGUUGUCUUGAUCACCUUACCAUUUUUUUUUCUUAUGGAGCUCGAGUUGAAGGUUGAGUUAAGGACAUGUGGUUAUAGAUGGAGUAUUGAUCUCGUGAUAGCGUGUUUUUCACACUUCUUUCAUCUUGGAUUGUUGAUAAGAAUUCUCUAGUCACAUUUGUAGUCAUCUCGCAAUUGACACCUUUAUGACUCCAAAGUUCUCAUCAUACAUCCAGAUUUUGGAUUACCACCUCAGGAUCAUGUGCUUGCAUGUUGUAUUGUUGUCUUUUAAGGUCUUAUCUUGUGUCCUUCAUCCAUUUCGUUUGCAUUGUAGGGUGUCAUUUUAUGAGUUGAUUGAGUCUGGAGUUACAUCCUUGGAGGAGAGUUGGAGGUCGAUUGAUCAGAGUAGAUUCACAUCAGAGUUCAGACAGUUCGAUCGAGAUGUCAGACGAGUUAGCUUCCACACUUGCUUCUAUUCAGGAGUUCAUGACAUGGGUUAGUAGACGUUUGGAUCAGAUAGAGAGUUCUCGCUAGGAUCAUCAUCUAGUUGGCAUUAGCACCGACGAUACAGUUCCUCAUGUACCUCAGACAGCGCAGGUUUUUCCACCUGGGACUUCACCUGGCAUUCCAUUCCAUUUAUCAAAUCAUUGUGAGACUGCUCCACCACCUACUGCCACAAUGUCACCUCCCAUGGUUCCUACUAUUGAUGAUGCUAGAUUGGCCGAGCAGGAGGCCAGGAUCAAGAGGCUUGAGUCUAAGAUGAGACAGAUCAGAUUGCAAAAUGGAGGUUUGACUUGGGAUGAUAGGGAUGGUAUAUCGGCGGCUAGCUUGCCCACCAAAUUUCGCAUGCCAGACAUUGAGCAUUAUAGUGGGAUCGGUUGUCCUAAGAUCCAUUUGAGACUAUACAACACAGUCAUGAGAGCACACGGGAUAAAUGAUGCACAGUUGGUGGCCCUCUUCCUUAUGUCACUUAGUGGAGCGGCUCAGAAAUGGUUUGCUUCAGUUGAGCCUUCGAGACUCCGCACCUGGGAGGAUGUGGCUCAUGAGUUCCUAACUCAGUUCGCUUUCAGUGCGGAUAUUGAUGUAUCUAGACGAGAGUUGGAGGCCACCAGGCAGAGGCCAGAUGAGUCUAUUUCUUCCUUUGUCAUUCGUUGGAGGGCAAAGGUGGCUAGUAUGAUAGAUCGGCCUAAGGAGCAGGAUCAGAUUGAUAUGGUUCUUCGGAACCUACAACCGAGGUUCGCGAGACGUCUUGUGGGCAUCCCAUUUCAGGAUCUUAAGAGUCUAGUUCAUGCAGCUUUUAGUGUUGAGGAGACCAUCGCUCGAGGAUUAUGGACAAAUACUACUCCUUCUCCAGACACUAAGGGGAAGAAACCGAUUAGAUCAUUUAGUAAAUUUGGAGAGGUUGGUGCUAUUAGUUAUCAGCAUCAGCGACCUGCACAUCACUCACCUUACAGACCUCUUACAGUCAGAGCUCAUUUAUCUCAUCCACAGUAUCAGUAUCAGCUGGUUUAUGUUCAGGAACCUUACAUUGCACAGGCCAGCAUGCAGCCACGACCAUCACAUUCGAGAGCCGCUACUCACCCACCGCCUAGACCAUAUGCAUAGAGGCUCGCGAGACAGUUCACUCCCUUGGGCAUGACCAUGACUAGAGCUUUUGAGAAGCUCGGAGAUGGCGGUUUGAUCGUUCCUUUAGCGCCACGCCUUUUGCCACAUCCUAUUCCUCCACAUUUUCGCUCCCAUGAGCAUUGCUUAUAUCAUCAGAUGCAAGGGCACAAUACUGAGCAUUGUUCGGCACUCCAUCAUGCGAUACAGGACUUGAUCGAUUCAGGGUUGGUCAACUUGGUUGGGCCAAGUGUGACCACCAAUCCUUUGCCUACGCAUUCUACACAUGCAGUCUCUCCUCCUCCUAGUCUUCAGUAGAUCGAUUUGGAUGUUGAUAGUAUUGAUGGUCGCAUGGUAUUUUGGGACAUCCCGGGUUGAGGGUUUGGAUCAGUCGACAUGGGUACAUCAUUUGGUAGCAGUUCAGUUCAGAGCAUUUUUCAUGUUGAUUAUGGUCAUCAUCCGAGUCAUCUCCAUUUUGUUGAGUCCAGUUGUUAGUUCGUCAGAGUUGUUUUUAUUUUGUUGAGUAUGGUUUUGGUCUAGAGUCGUUUAUAGUUCAUGUUAAGAGUUUGGUCAUUUAUAGUCCUUUAUCGUUUCACACAUGAUGUACUCGUUGGUUCAUUCAGUGAUAUGAUAUUUUAUCUGAGUAUGUGGUAUUUUUCUCGUGAGUGUGUUUUACAUAUCUUGUGUUGACGUGUGUUAUGCUUUUGAUAUGAGACAUCUUUCACUUACAUCACGAUCACUUUGGCCUAACCUAUCAUGGAAGAUAUUGAGCCUAUGGACUUAGGAUUAGGAGAUCGACCUAGGGAGUUCAAUACUGUAACCCAUUUCACUUUCUGUUCGGAGCAGUACCAUAUCUAUAUCCAUACCCUGACUUUGUGGACUUGAUGACCUAGCCAUUUUGAGCCUAACAUGACACCACCUCUUGGUACCACUGUACGAUUUUACCAUCCAUUGUUCAUUUUAGCGUAUUACAGUACCAUUGCCUACUCUUUCCAUCAUUUCCUUGAUUUGACUAGGUAGAGUCUGAGAUGGUUAGACUCGAGGUGAGCUUUACACGAUGAUAAAUGGAUCGUGAUGAGAGAGUGGCUUGACUGUUUGACAAUAUUAUUGAGAUAGAGGGGUUAUCAUAGAGCAUCCAGAUUUGAGCCAUUGCAUAUGACUUCAGAGAGUCGGGAUGAUUAGAGAUGGUGAUUUUAUGAGAUGAUGGUGAGUGGCUUGUGAUGAUAGAGUAAGUUGAUUUUCAGAGGACAUUGAUCGUUAUCAUAGAACAUCAGUGGGAGCUUUCGCACGAUUUCAGAGGAGUCGCCAUGACUAUGUUGGAUGGAUGCCAGUCUUUAGUAUUGACCAUGUGAUAUCUCGAAAGCAUGAUGGGUGGCCAUCAUUUCAUGAGUCUAUUUACUUUAUCACUCUCGCAUAUAGAGUUACCCGUUGCUAGCCCUUUGAGCCUCGCAGAGCAUCAUAGCUUUUUCUUUCAUCACCUCAAUAACCUAUAACACCGGGUUGAGGAUCCUAUAGUGCUUGCAUGCUAUGAUUGGAUACGUCAUGAGUUCCAGACCUCAUUUCUCACUCUUCAUUGUGAUAUUGCCCACUUGGGCAUCAUUUCAUCACUAUUUUCUGAUAUCACAUAUCAUUACCUAUGAUAUUCGUUCUCUGUCUUUUCUUUCAUCAGUGCUUACUUGAUAUUAUCCUUGUUUCACCUUGAGUGUUGGUUUCUCACACGUCACUACAUAGAGAACUGUCACGUUCUUCCCCCCCCCCCCCCCCCCGGUUCGCCUUAUGAGCAGUGGUUCAUAGAUCAUAAUUUGAGAGGUUGUCUUGUUAGUGAGGAUUCAUGUUACAUCAGUACAUGGAGAGAGUUUAUUCAUUUAGCUAUGUAUUUCAUGGGAGAUCAUUCACUAUUGAUCAGAGUAUGCGCAAAAAAAAAAACAAAAAAAACAAAAACAAAACAAAACAAAACAAAAACAAAAAAAUGAAAAAAAAAAAAAAAAAAGGAUAGCGCAUUGUUCAUUUUCUUAUUCUCCAUUGAGCAGGUGUAUGGACAUGCUAGUUUACUUCAUUGAGUUCAUGUGUUAGAGAGAGUUCGUAUGAGAGCUUCUUUCUGAGAUUCUAUCUUGGUAUAUUUUGGGUGAGAGUAUGAGUUGCCCAUUCGUUUUGGUGAGAAAGGCAAGUGAUUUUUCUUUAGUAUCUCUAGAUCCUUGCUCUAUCCAUCAUCCCAUCUGUUUCAAAUGUGACUACUUUCCAUGCUUUGAUGUAGGUUGACCAUCACUCACUUUUCUAUUUCUCUGUCUUAUUUUUAUCCUUAUUUUAUCCCUCCAUUUCACUCUACCUCAUCUGAUUUCAUUCUUUUCUCAUCCUGCUUGAUGUUUGACAUGGGUUCAGCAUCCACACUUUAUUCUUGGUUAUUCGAUGUGACCAUUCAUUUAUCAUCACUUUUCGUGUAGAGACCCCAAGGUCCGGGACUCAUGACAUUUUCUACGUAUUGCAUCUCAUGCACAAGGGGUAUGAGAAUUAUAUCAUUGGGAUCUUUGAGCCUAGUUUCCUUUCAUUUCUUUCACCCUAUUACCUUAGCCUACGUUACGUCCCGUGUCUGAAGACCACCUUGAGGCCAUUACUUCACAUUGUGUUUGACAGCUCACACGUGGGCAAUACUCGAGCUUGGUCGGAGAUUAUUCCUCAGAGCAUGAUGAUAGGGAGUUGAGAUGAUGCUUUACACUGGGGCAUACCCCUCUUAUCAGUGAUGGAAUUUUAGAAGUGAUGUGAUCUACACUGGGGCAUACCCCGCUCAUCAAUGACGUUUUCUUUCAGGAUGAUGCCUUGCACUGAGGCAUAGUCAGUUCUCCACUCAUUGAUGGUUGAUUUUUUAGAUGACGAUUUAUUUUGAGGCAUAGUCCUCUCAUCGAUGAUGGACUUUGAUUUAUCUUGGAGCAUAGUCACUUCAGAUGGUUUAUACUGAGGCAUAGCCAGUUCAUUCGUACUCAUAGAGCUCGGGGAUUCUGAUUUAUAUGGAUUAUGUUGAGAUGUUUCUGUUUUAGCACCAGGAGUAGAGAUUGAUCGAUUUGUUGACCCGUACUAGGCAUGGUCUUCCUCAGCAGUUGUUGACUUGGGUAUACUGCUUUACACUGGGGUAUAGCCAGGAUAGAGAGCAUUUUUCAUUGGAGCAUAGCUACCAUAUUUGGUUCCUUUACGCUGGGGCAUGUCCAUCUUUUGGAGGGAGAUCAGAUUGAUUCUUGACAUUGGAGCAUCUAACGAAUGAUAUGGAGAUCAUUGGAUUAUUUCAUGUUGUCCUCAUUGCAUACUAGGGCAUAGCCACCUAGUUGGAUUUUUUGACAUCGAGAUUUGACUUCCUGUUUGUGAUUGCUCCACGAUGGGUUAUGGAGCUAUCGACACCUCAGGUUUAGUCUUCUCGUCGUAUUUGGAUGAUCUCAGAUACUUACAUACCUUUCAUUUUGUACUCAGACAUUUCACCUUGGAUACUUUCACGUCUUCUAUCAUAUCAGAGCCUGAUCAUCACCUUCUUUUAUCCUACACAUCCCAUCGUGACACAUGACCUCACCCCUUUCUCGAUUAGGAGGAGAUGUAGAUCAAUCCUCGAUCACCUUGGUUGUGCUUUCAUACAUCUUUCGGACUUUAGGUUCAACAUCUUCCAUGAUGGUAGGGCCUGACAGAUUGUUGACUUAUUAGUGACGAUGUUUUCACUUAGACAGUUGACAUGUUGAGUAUUGAUUUGCUUGCUCUUUGCAUUUUGAGCACUGAUCAUUAUUAUUGUUAUUCACCAGUUAGUUUUGUUUUGUUAACAUGGUGUCAUGAUACAUGGUCCUGUUUGGCAUAACCUAUCUGAGGUUGUACAUUUUCAUUACAUGAUGGAUGAACAUAUUUCAGAGUAUAGUAGUUUUGAGGCAUUUUGCAUCUCUGUCUGUUCAUCAUUGCAUACUGGGGCAUAUCAUCCUUCCUCGAGAGCAUCGGCCUUCCACAGGCUUCAUUCACCUUCCAAUCUAGUUGUUGACUCCUUCGAGUCGUCAUACUAGGGCAUACCCCCUCUCCGAGAGCAUCGGACCUUCCAUAGGUUUCAUUCACUUUUCGAUCUAGUUGUUGACCCCUCCGAGUGGUCAUAUUGGGGCAUACCCCCUUCUUCGAGAGCAUUGGACCUUUCAGUAGACUUUCAUUCACCUUUUGAUCUAGUUGUUGACCCCCGCGAGUUGCAUACUAGGGCAUACCCUCCUUCCCUAGGAUCAUCAGACCUUGAUCAUGCUUCAUUAUCUUUUGACCUAGUAGUCGAUCCUUAUGAGUUGUCAUACUGGGGCAUAUCCCCUCCUACUGAGUUUGCUUGCUUCGUUAUCCUGGUUAUCCUUUGGCUUUGGGCCACUUGAUUAGAUCACCAUCAUGUCAGUUCUGUUUGAGUCAGGGUCGCACCUAUAUCGAUCGAUCAUCAUUCUGUCUGUUUGAGUUUUCGGGACUGCACCUAUAUCGAUCAGUCAUUCAUCUUGUCUGUUUGAGUUUGAGUCAAGACCGCACCUAUAUCGAUAGGUCAUUCAUCUUGUUUGUUUGAGUUUGAGUCGGGACCGCACCUGUAUCGAUCGACCAUUUUCCUAUCAUUUCCAUGUCAGUUUGAGUUUUCGGGACCGCACCUAUAUCGAUCGAUCAUCCUCUUGUUAGUUUGUGUUCAGUUUGAGUCGGGGCCACACCUAUAUCGAUCAGCCAUGUUCCUAUCAUUUUGUGUUCAAUUUGAGUCGGGACCGCACCUAUAUUGAUCGGUCAUCAUCUUGUCAGUUUGAGUUUGCGUUUUUUGGGCCGCACCUAUAUCGGUUGGCCAUCUUCCUAUCAUUUCCUUGUCUAUUUCAGUUUUUCGGGGCCGCACCUAUAUCGACCGGUCAUUUAUCGUCUUAUCAGUUUCAGUUUGAGUCGAGACCGCACCUAUAUCCAUUGGUCAUCAUCUUGUCAGUUUGAGUUUGCGUUUGGGAGGUCGUACCCAUAUCGAUCGGCCAUAUUCCUAUCAGUUUGUGUUCUGUUUGAGUCGGGACCGCACCUAUAUCGAACGGUCAUUUUCCGUGUCAGUUUGAAUUUUUGAGGUUGCACCUAUAUCGAUCGGCCAUCUUCCUAUCAGUUUGUGUUCAGCUUGAGUCGGGCCCGCACCUAUAUCGAUCGACCAUCUUCCUAUCAUUUCCUUGUCUAAUUCAGUUUUUUUGGGACCGCACCUAUAUCGAUCGGUCAUCAUUUUGUUAGUUUGAGUUUGCGUUUUGGGGGCUGCACCCAUAUCGAUCGGCCAUCUUCCUAUUAGUUCAGUUCGACGUCCAGGGUCUUUGUUCAAUAUGUCAUUCAGAGUCAUUCCUCUUUAGCCAUAUCAUUCAGAGUCACAGUUCUUGGUAUUCAUAUCCACUGGCAUUGCACAUCUAGCCUUCAUGGUUUGCACUUGACCUCAUUUUCCUCACCUCGUCACCCUAUGCUUAUCGCCUAUUCUUCAUUGCCCUUCUAGACUUCUCCUUCCACUACUCACGACACAGUCAUUUGAAUUCACGACACAUACUUUGGUCAUGUUGUUAGGCACCGCGCAUUUGGCAUUCUCAUGUAGUUUACAGACAGCCAUUCCCUUUGGGCACAGACUUCCCUAUACUCUAGGGUGGUUAGGUUGUUAUUCAUCUUCGACGUUGGUUUUUCGAACCACUUGUGGAGAUGUCUUAGAAAGAGUAUGGGUCCUUGGUACGGCUUCAGAGGCACUUUGAGAUAUCCACUCUCCUUUUAGGAUUUUAGGACUCCUUCUGUUCCUCUGAUGGUUUGGGUGAGUUUGUGUUCUACGUGUAUACCUUUAGGGGUUUUUUUUUUUUUUUUCUUUCUUUCUUCUGUAGAGUUCACUUUGUUACACUCACUAUUCACACUUUCUUUUCACUCUAGUGUUUAUGUUCCUUACACUUGUGAAUUCUACCAAACAUGGGCAUAUUUGUAAACCCCUUAAAAGACCAAGGGUUCUUUUCAUUUGUUUGGGACCACCCGGGGGGAGAAUUUUCCAUUCAUUUUUUUGAGAUGAGAGGGGACCCUUUUUCUGCCAGGAAGAAGCCGCAUGGACAGGUGGCCAAGGGCAUGGUUGGCCAUGAGGGUGGUUGAGAGGCCAUGCUUGCUAAUCGAGAAACAGGAGAGUGGGUGAUAGCUGUGAUAGGAGGGUUUGAGGUUGAGGGGUUUGGAAGGGCAGCUAAGAGGAGCAGAAAAAGGGGACUGAGUUUUUUUUUUGAAAAAAAUAAAAAUCUAGAGAGUUGAAAGAGAUGACAGGGAAGAGCACAUGGAUGAGAGCUAGAGAGAGAACACAAAAAUAUGAGAGCUAGUUGGAGGGGAAGUUUUGAAGGACGUUGAGGAAAAAUGCAGGAGAGGAGUCCAGAGAUGAGGAGAAACGAAGGAAAGGGAACUGGCUGACAUUUUUUUUGGGAUUAAGAAGAAGGAAACUGGAUGAGGAAGCUUUUCGAAUAUGGGUUGUUUUUUUUUUUUUUUUUUUUUUUUUAAGCAUGGAGGUGAGAAAAAAGCUAUACUGAGAGAGUGAGCAGCAUAUGAGCAAGAAAUGAACAAAAACUGAACGGGAGCACUCUCAAAUAAUGCAGUUUAGAAUAUCACCCUGGAAGCUCCAUGGUUUAGAUCUAGUCAAAGAUUAUGCGCUUACAUAAGUUGCAAUUCUUUGCAAGAAGUUGAUGCAUCAAAAGUUCUGUAAAAAAUUCCAUAGAAUCCAGCCAAAGGUCAUCACUCAGGUACGUUCGUUGCCUCUCAUAUUCAUUCAGGUGUUUUGUUGUGAUUUUCAUUCGGUACCCAUUGAUUUAUUUAUCAAUCGCCAUACUUGCUUCAUUUUAUUAGUAGAGACCCGACUUUAGAGACUUAGAGGAAUGCUAUGGUCUUUAUCGUACCUUCCCGAUAAGUAAUCCGACCCCGUUCCCAAUUCGGUUUUUCACAAAGCACCUUUUCCAAAUAAGGAGUCACGCUUAGGGUUUUCUUUCUUAUUUUGUUUACUCUUUUAAAAAUAAAACAAAAAUAAGUGGCGACUCCAAGUCAUUUUCUUAAUAAAUAAAAAUCAUUUUUCAAAUAAAAAUCAAGCUCACCAUCGAGUGGAAAACGCAUGAGCCGAAAUGCGGGGUCCACACUAAGUUGUAAAUAUUUGUUGAAUAUAAAAGGAAGUAAAUUUUUUUAAGUGGAUUGUUUUAGACAAAAAUAAAUUUAAAAAAAAAUUACAAGCACUUGCAUAGACACCUUAAUAAUUGAAGUUAAUUUUUUAAAUAUUAAAAUAUUGAUAUUUAACAUAUUUAACUUCAAUUUAUCUAUUAAUAUAAUAACACAUUAUUAGAUAAUGUGUUUGCUAUAUCUAUUAUAAAUAUUAUGAUUAAUAUCAUAUUCUUAAUUUGCAUAUUAUGUCAUUUUAUAUAUAUUUUUAAUUAGUUUAAAUUAUUUAUAAAUUGUUUAAAAUGAGAUAACUUAUCACAAAUUACUUUUUCGAAUAAAGAAUGUGUAUAGAAAAAAUUUUCAUCUAAUUUAAAUUAAUUCAAUAUUAUAAAAAAUAAUUCAUAAAAUUUUUCUACAUUUAAAAUAAUAAAUCAAAUUUUCAUAAUCACUAAUUAUCUUUUAAAACAUUCUUUUUUUUUUUAACCUACUCUACUUGUACAACAUUAUCAUUUAAACCUUUUUGAAGUUUUAUUCCUUCUUGCCAACCCCACUUAUAUGACAUACAGAUUUAAUUUCACAAUAAAUUAGAAAUGACAUGAUUUAAAUGAUAUAAUACAAAUAAUAACUAAUAAUUAAAAAUAAUACUAAUAAUAAUUAAUUUUCAAACAUUAAAUAAUUUAAUAUCUAGAGUUAUUAUAGCACAUUUUGAUUUAGACAAUAUAGUUGAAAUAAUGAUGUAAUAAAAAGCUGAUGAUGAUAAAAAAUAAAUGCAUAUGUCAAUGUCAGUUUUUAUGCAAUAAAUUUAUUAUUUAGGAGUGAAAAUUUUGAAAAUAAUUAUACACACUUAAUAUUGAAAAAAUAGAUUAAAUUAGGAAACAACAUCAUUCACAUGCACUCUCACUUUCAUAUAUUUACCCUUAUCGAAAUUAAGUGGAAACAAGAAAAGAAAGAGAGAUGACCCAUUAAAAUAAAGAAUGAAUGUGAUUUAGAAACAGACAAUUAUUUUAAGUUAUUUUUAACUUUCAAUUAUAAUAAUAAGUUAUUUUACUAAACAAUCUUAAUAUAUUUAAUGAGUUAAAUUAAGUCAUUAAAAUAAUUUAAUGGCCCCUUGUGCAAUAUUCAAAUAUGAGAUGAGUGAUUGCAUCGGGGUUAAUGCUUGGUCCAAUGAAUUUUAAGCCGAUAGGAGAUAAUUCUUGUCCCAUCUUCAUAAAAAAAAUAUUAACAUAGUAUGUAACUAUUAACUUCAUCUUAAUGGUUAAGAAAAAAAGGCAUAAUCACAAAACAUUUUUUUAUUUAUGUUGCUAAAAUAUAUGGUCUUGGCAGUGGAUGUUAAUGGCUCUAGGAGGAUGUGAUCUACCUGCAAACGAAACUGAUUAGGCCCAAAACCAAACUCAGUCCGAUUACUGAGAAUCCUCUCUAUAGGGUAUAGCCCAUAUCAUUCAAAAUAAUGUGUUUUUUUUUUUUGGCAAAUCCUUGACCGAUUUCAAAUGAAAGGAUGGAUCAAAACAGUCCCCUAAAGGUAAUAUUACCCAUAUAAGCCUACAUUAUCUCGGUGCAACUUGGGUGGGUUUAUUAAACCCAACAUGAGUCCAACUCAAACCCGAUAUAAUUUAUAAUAUUUAUAAUACAAAUUAUCCUAUAUAAUAAUAUUCGUUUUCUUUUUCUGUUUUCAAGAAAAAAUAUUAAAUUAUAUUAUAUCAUUUAUUUUUUUAUUUUUUUCAAAAAUGUAUAAAUUUACAUUUAUUCUUUUGUUGUUAUCUUAAAAUUGUAUCCUAUUUAUUAUUUAAAUUUUUAUGUAAAUACAUUGAAAAUAUUUUUUUUAAAUAUUAUAGAUGGAUUUUGAAUUAUACAACCCGACAACCCAAGUCUAUCUUGACAAACCCAAAUCUAACUUGAUCAAUCUGAGUCUAAGUUGAACAAUUUGAAUUCAACUCGAGUUUUAAAAAAUAAGAUUGGAUUGAGUUAGAAUUAAUACCUCGUGUUAGAGUUUGGGUUGGAUUUGGUUCGGGUUAUUUAUUUCUCAAUCCAUAUUAGACUCGAGUUAAUCACCAACAUAAGCAACACACCCAAAGUAUUAGACUCAGGUGCCUAGUUCCCCUUCAACACAAAAAUCUCACUUUCUCACUAUUCUCAUAUGCCUAACUCUCAUAUUGAUUUUCCUAACUCAAAAAAUUUCUAUCUUAGAUUUUGAGCUAUUAGGAGGGAGAUGAGAUAGGGUUCACAGCUUGUGGAGAAGACAACCCUUCUAGCUUCAUUUUCUGCCUUCUUGAAACACGAAAAAAACGAAGUCGAAACUCACCUAGAGUACCAAAAUUCGAGGUCUAAAGGCUUUUGGUUUUGUUUGAAUUUCUUGUUUUCAAGUGAAAAAAAAAAAAAAAAAACCUAAAUUUCUAGGUUUUAUUUGCUCGAAUUCCUCUUUCUUGUUCUUGCCUGAAAGCUCCAUAUAAUUUGUUAUUGUCAAAGUCAAACCAAUUUGAUUUAGUGGUUUAACAUGCAUGAAAACAAUGAAUGAUUUUAUGAUUUUUAUUUCCCUUUUAUCAACUCAUUAAUUAUAAAAAAAAAUUAUUUGCUUUAACCCUAGUUUGAAAUCCGUAAUCAUUUUUCUGAUAAUUUUUUUUUCGUAUUUAUUUUCAAAAUUUUCAUUUCACAUAGAUUUCGUUUAUGUGCUAUUUAGAAUUUAACAACUCCAUAACCCAUAAUCAUUUUUUUUUUCAUUUUUUCUCUAUGUUCUGUUUGAUUUCUGAGAAAGUGUGGGAAAAGAUAUACACGAGUCAGAACGGGCUGGGGAUGGGAUUUUAAUGGUUAUUUGAAAACGGGAUCGGGACCACGAACCCCUUCCUGCCCCGAGUUUGGGAAGGGGAUGGAAAAUAAUUAUAUAUUUUGGGAUGAGAAUGGGAUAGGGGGAGCCCGUCCCAAAUCCGCCCCGUUGUCAUUCCUGGGUAUUAAAUAUCAAGGAUCUCCACCUAUUCUUGGGGUCUCCUACCAAAAUCAUUAAACAAUUGAACUUAUGUGACUAAAAAACAAAAUCCAAGGACAAUGGCCCUAUCUAUCCUUAUAUAGUCUGGUGACCAAGUACUGAUGGACCCAAGGCUCUCUAGUAUAUUUUAAAUGUAAGGUCACAAAAUCAAACAUAUCCAACUUUAUAUUAAAAUAUGUAUAUAAAAUGCAAGCAAGUGGGAACUUAUCAAAACACAUCUAUGCAGGUAUAACCAACAAUCAAAUUCCCCAAUUUUCUUAUUAUUAAAAAAUAGUCGUUUGACAAUACACAAAACAUUCAACAAUAAAUAAAGAAAUUCAAAAGAAAUAUGGUGCUUGUACUUCUAAAAUCUCUAUAUUGACCUCUAUUAUAAGUCUUUGAUCUAGAUCAACACCUAUAACAUAAUUAUGUAUAGGAUAUAACUAUGAAUAUAAUAUAAGUUUACAUAUCAACACAAUAAUGUCCUUCAUCCCACUAACCAUCAUUAGGUAUCUUUUAUUCAAAAUGCUAAAUGUUCCUUCAUCCUACUAACUAUUAUUAGUUAUCUUUUAUUCAAAACGCUAAAUGUUCUAUCAAUUGUAUUUUUCGAGGAUGUAUGUUGAAGGUUAAAAACCCUCUAACAAUUUUUGGUUGAUGAGUCAUGAGUGAGUUAUAUCUAAGAAAAAAAAACCGUUAUUAUUAGUAAUAAUCAUUGGUGAUAAAAAGUUAUGUUUGUAUUUAAUCACUAAUAAUCACGUAUUGGAAUAACCAAUUUGUCCAAUUCUCUCAUUCACAUAUCAUCUAAUUCUUGAAUUAUCCCUCUUAACUAAGUAAAAUGAGUAUAUAUACAUAGAAAAGAACAUAUUGUAAAACUAUUCUAUGUUGAAUGGUAUCUUCAUCUUCAAUACUUUUAUACAAUACUAUAUGAAAUUUAACAUGAGAAUAUAUAUGACCCAUUAAAUCCUUCUUAACUAGGUAAAAUAUAUAUACCAAAUUUACAUUAAAAUAAGGUCAAAAUUGAAUUUUAUCCUUAAAUUUCUUAAAGACACUCUAAUCCAUUGGAUUGUCCAUAGAAAAUAUCUCCGAAAAAUGCUAUAGCUCUAAAAACUUGUUGAAAACGUCAAAAAGGAGUUUCAUUUGUUUAUAAUUCAAUUCAUUAAAUUAUGAAUAAUACUAUAAAGGAACAUAGUAACUUCUUCUACAUUAUUAUAUGCACUAUUUCUAUGACGACUUAUUCCUCAAAGUAUGUUUACUAGUCUUUUAAACGCAUCCUAAUCAAUGGAUAGUUGGUAAUGACAAUCUUCUUUGUUUAUUGUAUCAUAAUUUGUUCCAUUAAGGCAUGUCAUUAGUAAUCUUCUUCCUUUGAAAUAGGCAUUUCUGCAUACGUUGCAUAUCUAGCUAUACAAGUUCUAGUCCAUCUUUUAAGUCUUUCUCACUCCUCCUACCUACACAAGUUGUAGCCCACCUUCCAAGCCUUUGACACUCCUAGCUACAUAAGUUGUCACCUAUCUUCUAAGCCUUUGUCACUCGGUAUCACUCUACCAAAUAGCAAAGUAAUCAUUCAAUUUAUCCCAAUUAUUAAAAGUUCAAGCAUAUAAGCAAAGAAGUUACUAAUUGAUUACAUAAUUCACUUCAAUAUCGUUGAAGUCUACCAAAAAAAAAAUUAACUAGUGCAUAUCUGUUCAGCUAGGCUCCUUUCUGAUUACUUACGGACCAAUAGUAUCUGGCGUGUGGAGAGGUGAGGAGGUCUCUUGUAUUCCUGGGACUUGUUUAUAUUAUACACCAGGUUUGUAUCAGGCCCUACAUGGCUCAUGGAAUCCAUUUCUAUGAAAUGGAAGAAGACUACUCACUCAGCUUUUGAACCAAAUUAAAGGUUUCAUGGGAUGAAUGUAGAGGAAAUGGAAAUGUAAGUCUCACCCAUUUAAUUUUUAAAUCAUUUUUUUUAUUUUAUUUUUAAAUUUAAUUUUUUUAUGAAUAAAUUAAAAUAAUUUUUAUUUAAUUAUAUUUAUAAAUAAGGCAAAAUGACAUUAAAUAAGACAAUACAUGAAUUCAUCCUAGGCCUAGGAUUUAAAAUAAAUUUUCAAACUCGUCCCAAUCUAUUCAUCUUUAUCCUCGAUGAAGGUCAUCUUUAUCUUCUUGCAUGCAAAUUACUUUAAUUUCUUCAUGUUCUCUUACUCCAUCUCUCACCUCCUUUGCGGAAUAUAACACAACUUAAUAUGAAAUAUUAGCCCAAGAUUAUGCUUGUUUUGCCCUCAAUGAUUCUUAUGAUGUUUCAGAAUGAUCAAUCAAAAUUGGGUCUAGUGUAUGAAAAUUAGCAAGACCUAACCGCCCAACAAAUCACCACCUAAGUUUAGGCAAUAUCCUUUCACAUUAUGUUCACUUCAUUGGACAACAACAGGACCAUGACAUGAAAUUAAGCAAACUACCAACAUCAUGUUCACUUCAAUUAUUAUUAGUUUCAAAUUAUCCUAUAGAUGUAAAAUUUAUUUUUAAAAUAAUAAAAUUUAUUUUUUUUAGAGAAUUAUUAAAGACAUUUAUUUAAUCUAAAAAAUAAAUUAAAUAAAUUUAUAAAUAUGCUAAUUGACCAAAUUUAAAACUAAUAAUGAUUUGGUGUAUUUGCACCAAAUCUCAUGAACUUCUUUUAGGACAAGCUAACGUGGCUAUGUAGCAUCCUCAUUUGGUUUUCAAAGUCAAUUACUCAACCAAGAAAAGUGAAUUUUUCCUUCGCUUUUCACCCAAUUUUCUCAUCAAAUUUUCCGGGAAAAUACCUAUAUUUCAACAUUUUGCUUACUACUUCCCCUCGUUUGUUUUGUUUCACAUCAUUUUCCUAGCAUCCAAAUCCAAAUAUAAGAACCUGUCUUUUAACAUUUUCUUUUCCCUAAACACUCACUAUAGAAAGUGACGAAAAAAAUAUAUUUUCAUACACUUAUGUAAAAAUAAUUAUAAAAUAGAAACCCUUUAAAUGUAAUUCAAGUUUUAUACGCUCACCCAUUAAAAGUAGUGUGUAGGAUGAUCAAAUAUAAUAUUUAUAAUAUUAAAAAAAUAUUUUGUUAAAAUAGAUUAAAUAAUCUUCAAAUUAUAAAUCUAACUCUUUCUAUGUUUUUUUUUUUUAAAAGUAACCAAUUUUUUAUAUAAAUGUCUUUUACCAUUUCAGGUAUUUAUAUAUAGGUUUUAAAAGAGAGUUUAUUUUUAUAAUAAAAUAAUAAGGCUAUUUUUGUCAAAAUAAAGUUAAAAAAUGAUGAGAAGUUAAAUUUCAAAAAUUUGAUUUUCAAAAACCUGUUUAGUCAAAUAAUUCAUUAUUAAAAGGUAAUACCACAAUGGUCAAAGGUACCUUUUACCGAAAAGUAUAUAAAAUACUAAUUUUUUUAAAUAGUUGUUUGAAAUUUAUAUUUUAUAAAUUUAGGUUUCUAUUUUUUGGUUUUUUUUCAUAUGAGUGUAUGAAAACACAAUUUUUUAAGGGUUUUUUUUUUUUUUUACUUGCUUUAAGACUUAUAUCUUUGGACUUUAAUGUUUUUUAACUUCUCACUUUUUAUAAAUAACUUUAUCCUAAUACAAAAUGUAAAAUAUUUUUAUUUUUAUCUUAAUAGUAAAAAUCACUUUUUCUCCUUUUUCUUUCCAACCUAACUUUAUUGUUAAAUUAUUUCUAAAAUUUUUGGAUAGUUUUUAUUUUGAUAACUAAUCAAUAGAAAAAGUCAUUAUGACUUCAAAAAACAAACAAACAAAUAAAUACAUAAACAAACAAAGACCACCUAAAUCUUUCUCAUUUUCCUUCAAAAGUUGAGAAUUCUUAGAGAAUUUUAUUUGCUCGUAUUUAAUAUUAGAAUAAAAAAUAAGGGAAAAAAAAAGUUAAAUAUAAUUAAAAUUAUUAAAAAAAAUUAUAUAUUUUUAAAUUAUUUAAUUUUUAUAUUGAAGAAUUUAAAUAAAUAAAAAUUUUAAAAUAAUAUAUAAAAAUAAUUUAUUGAUUUUAUUUUUUUUUUUUUUUUUGGCCUUUUUUUUCCUUCUACAUUUUGCUUUCUCUUUUUUUUUUCAAACUCCCCGACAACUAAGCAUAACAAUAAAAAAGUAAAAAAUAAAUUUAAAACUAAUAAAUUUCUCUGUAUACUUCUUUAAAUUCAUUUUAUUUAUUUUAAUACUUAUAUAAAAAUUGAAAUUUUAAACACAUACAUUAUUAAACAAGUAAACAUAUCAACAUCAGUGGUUAGGGUCCCAUUUUCUGGUUCUGUCCAUCUCAUUUUCCGCUCCCCCAAACAGUGGCGGAAAUCAUUGGCAGUGACUAGUGAGAAGCUCCAAAUACAAGCAAAAGAAAUAUGACCGUUAGAAUGAGUGAGACAGGAAGUCAAAAGACGAAAGGACUUAUGAAUAAUUGAAUUAUAACAGCAGCUCAGCUCUUAUCUGAAGCUGACACAGCUCAGAAACCCAGGCCCCAGAAAAGAAAAAAACAAUUUCCCUCCAACCACCAUCUAAUGAAAUUUUCUAUUAAGACGGCGACACAAUCAUAACCCUCAAGUAAUAUAAAAAAUGAAGCUGGGACGGAGAAAAAAGAAAGGGGAAAUGGAGUGUGCAUCAUUCAACAGCAACACAGAGAUAAUUUGCUGCAAAAAGCAGAUAGAAAAGAAAAUGAUGAAUGAUUCAAUACUUUGAAGACUAAUGCAGAAGAUAUAUUGAAGACCCAAAUGUAAAAGGCAAGAAAAAAGAAAAACCCAGAUGAGUUUUUUCACCAUCCCAACAACAGGAAUCAAGUCAAAAACAACAAAGAAUAGUAAUCAUGUAUAAGAAAGAAGAAAAAAGCACAGCCGAUGAUCCAUCCAUCCAAAUCUGUACAGAAACAAUCUCUCCAGCUCUCUGAUAUUUUACCCGGUUUUUAUGUGUUUAAGAGCACCUCUGGUAGGGCAAUACACAGGAGAAGGUAACAUUUAAAUAACAGCCAAUGCUUUAAAAAUGGAGAAUCCAAAUGGGCUUUAUCCUCAAUCAGAUUGCUCUCUUACAAGCAGUAAACAUCAUUUUUUUUUUCCCUGGAAAACAAACUUUGGAAGGUAGUACCUUGAUCUAUUGAUCUGUUACUGAGUGUUUAUAUUUUGGGUGAGUAGCAUUAUUCACCCAGUUGUCAUGUCCGUGUCAGUCCUAUCCAUGAAUCGCCUCUGAAGUAUGGCACUCUGAUUCAUUUACCUUGUUCUCCACGUCGCCUGAACCAGAGUUCUCCUUCAUGGACUCAAGGUCCAUGCUGGUUGUUCGGCUCUUCCUUCGGUCCUGGGAAAAGAUUGUACAAGCCAAAACUAUCAGCUUCUCAUCAUACCACAGGCUCAUUUGCAGUAAAAAUUUUAGAAUGGCAAAGCAUCCAUCACUAGAAUUGACCUACACUACUAUAACUAGAAACAUGUCUCCAUUGAAUAGUGGGAAAAAAAAAAAAAAAAAACCAAAAAAAAAAGGGUUUUCAUGGGGACAAGGGGACAAAAAAGAUGGUCAAUGUUAUAACUUGUACUGAUUUUGGAUUUCACCAAUAAAGCAGGGGUAGAAACAUUAACAGGGAUAUGCAUAAUGGUAGAUAAACAUUGUGUUGGACAUAGAAAAGCCCCUAAAUCUAAAUAUGGGGAUUUGAGGACACAACUAUAUCUGCUUGUGAAUAUGCUAUAAGAAACAAUAUCUUAGUUGAGUUUCUAAACAUAUGGAAAGACCCCAUGAGUUGUCUCGGUUAGCCAAAUCCAAGAUAGUAGCUAUGGUGCAAAACAGUACAAGUCUCGGGUAUCAAGAGAUCUUACAUUGUCAAAAACAAUAAAAAAGAAAUAAAUAACUUUACACCGUCUCAUAUCACAAGCAGAAAACAAAUUUGCUUUUGCACAAUUUCUAAGUAAAUAGAGGUGAAACUCCUCAUGAAAAGGUUUCAGACUAGUAUUAAACAGACUGGUGUGAAUUUUUAAUGAAUGGGACAAUGGUGGAUAUGUUGCUUUAAAAUCAAAGGACAAAGGUAAAUGUAUAGCAUGACUUGAUUGGAAAUACGUGAUAAAAUCAGUUGUGAGUGACAGAGAAAAAAAUCAAAUUGAUUAUUCUUUAUCAAUUUUAUAAAAAAUUAUUAAAAUAUAGUAAGGAGAAAUAAGAUAAAUAAACAAGUAAUUAAUUGUUAACAUUUGAAGGAGAAAAUUGGUAAGCACCUCACGAAAUGGGUAUUCAUCCUGUUCGAGCAUUCGAACAACCUGACUCAUUUUGGGUCUCUUUUCUGAGUCAGGGUCAACACACCUAAGGGCGACAAGAAGAGCGCGUUUUAGAGCACGUGUUGUGGGCUUAACUUCAAGGUUUGGAUCCACAACUUCUUCAGCUCUUCUUGUCCCUACCAUCACUUUAAGCCACUCGACAAGAUUAACCUGCCAUGAGCAUGAACAGCUUAUCAUAGCUCUUCUUGAACAAGCCUGUAUAUUUACCUUUCGACGAAAGGAGAAAGAAGUCCCCAAUGCAUUGGACAGAGAAAUACCUCAUUAGCAGGCCGGCCAUAGUCAACUGGAUCCCUUCCAGUAACUGCUUCCAGCAGGAGAACACCAAAGCUGUAGAUAUCACUCUUCUCAUUUAACAAGCCAGUAUUAGCAUAUUCUGGUGCCACAUAACUGAAAUCCAGAGAAAAGAUGUCAGGUUCUGAGGCUCUCAUAAAAAAUUUAUAUCAUACAGGUGGAAAAACUAUAAAGACUAAAGGGGACUUAAGAUGAACAUAUAAACAUACCCAAAUGUUCCCAUUACUCUAGUCGUUAUGUGGCUUUCACCUGAGCCCAAGAGCUUGGCCAAUCCAAAAUCAGAAACCUUUGCAUUGAACUCAUCAUCAAUCAAGAUGUUGCUUGAUUUUAUGUCUCGAUGAACAACUUUCGGUUCUAUUGCCUCAUGCAAAUAGGCAAGCCUGCAACCCAAUAUGAAACAUUUUUUUGACUUUUUCAAAGUGUGAAAGACCAAGAUGUUCAAUUUCAGUUCUGGAGUAGAUUUCAGUUCUGAAUGGAAUAAAAACAAUGACUGGAGUCUCAAAACUUAGAAAGGAUUUCAUAGAAAUAGAGGAGGUAAUUGCCUAUAUUAAUCUCGGUUCUAGUAACGCAAAUCUUAAUGAUGACACUAUUUUCAGUUGAGAGAUGGACUUACGCCUUGGCUGUACCAAGAAUAACCUUCAUGCGGGCCUCCCAAGUAAGGUUGCCAUAUUGGCGCAUAGCUCCAUGAAGCCACUGUUCUAAGUUGCCAUUGUUCACAUAUUCAUACACCAGCAUCCUAUAUUAAAGAAUAAUAAGUACAUAACCACAUCCCAGGCAAAUCAGAUCGACAAGAUUGCAAAAGAAUUGGAAAAGUACUUUGUUUUUCAACGAAAAAGUACUUCAUCAUGACAAUAAAUAAUAAUAACAUCCAACAUGCCAAAUGAAUAGGAAUGAAAUAAAUUACCACAUCAAUAAAAAGUGAACAAAUCUUACCUGUGAACUCCUUCUAUGCAAUAGCCCAAAAGUCGCACAAGAUUUUUAUGCCGAACAUGGCCUAUAGCCUCAACUUCAACCCUGAACUCUUUUUCUGCCUGUCCCCUGUGAACCCAUUUCAUAAUGCAGUCAUAAACCAAAUUUCAACCAAAGCAUCAUAAAAAGUGAGAGAAGGUGCUUUUGAUCUAUUCUUACAGAUUAUUAAGAAGCUUCUUCACUGCUACCUCAGCUCCAUUGAUUAGUCUGCCCUUAUAGACAACUCCAUAUCCACCUUCCCCAAGCACAUUUUCAGCUGAGAAACGACUUGUUGCAUACUCAAGAUCUCUAAGAGUAAACCAGUGGCCCCAACCAAGAUGAGACACUUCUGGUAAACCGAUUAAAGGAGAGGCUGAUGCAAGCCCAUAUGACAAUGAAGAAUGCUUCCGAACAGUUCCAGAACUUCCUUCUUCCCCUGAUUGUGAACUACAGCCUCUCUCAUGAUGAUAAAUGGAGCUGCACUGGCUGACAUUGUCAGGAUCACUUGAUUUGCUCACACCCAAAUGAUACAUCUUCUCAGAAUUUCUGUCAGUUGAUUUAUCAUUGACAUUAAGGAAUAAACUUUCAUCAUGAAAAUUCUGAGUCCCAAUCCUGUCAACCUUGAUAUCUUUAGAGACAUUGGGUAUUUGAGAAAGGGUGAAUUUGUCAAGGGUUCUUCGAGAUUUUCGUCUGAACAUGACCCAUAUAGAUAAGAUACAUAGAAUCAAAACUAUGAAUGCACCAACACAUACACCAAUUAAAACCCAAAGUUUUAGACCCAGAAAUUUCUUCGACAAUUCAGUGUCCAAAGAUUUCUGCGAUGACAUUUCUGAUGCUCUGGUAGCAAAGAAUGAAAAUUGUGCUUCCUCCUUGUGAUGCAAACUCAAGACAUUUCCACCUGGGUACCAUAAGCAUGAUAUGUGACUCUACAAAUAUUAAAAUACCUAACAAAUAUAUGAAUUUUUUUGAAAAAUAUUCUGAUGUGGUUUUCAUUUUCCUUGCUGGAACUCUGUGCAAAACAGGCCAGAUAUCAAUAAUACAAGUUACCCAAAUGAUAAAAACCAUUCUUAACCUGAUUCAACACUCAAACUCAGAAACAAAGACUAGCUAAAUCCAUUUGAUGCAAUUUGCAAAAAAAAAAAUAUGUAUAUGUCAAAGUAAUAAUAAGAUUCAUGGCUUCAUCUAAUCAUUUAAAGAAAUUCAUAUACAUUCCUGUUGACAGCUUCAUAGGAGAACAGUGAUUACUAGACAUUCCACAAUAAAGAAGCAAUUGUUCCCACAUUCCAUAAAACCUCAUUUGCGUCAAAUCCAUUCCAAUUUUAAAGAAAAAUAUUAAGCCAAUUUCAACAUUCCAUAAGAAGCAAUCACAUACUCAUAUACCUCCUUGGAUGAAAUCACAAAUCCAAAUCUAAGAAAGCAGGAAGAAAAUCUAAGAAAGCAUCACUUAUGAACCAAGUAAGAGAAAGAGAAAAGAGAGAGAAAGUGAGAAAAAUGUGAACACUCCAUCAUAAAGUGAUUCAAAAGAGAAAGCAUUUACCUUUGUGGUGAUCUAAGCUAACCCCCUUGAUCUUCCUCCUUGAGAACCCAGAGAAGAAAAGAAAGGGCUUCUUUUUUAGGCAAGAGAGACACAAUGAGCAUAGAUAGGCCAAUGUAGACCUGAAAUAACACAAACCCACCAAAACCCAAUAGGCCAAAACAAAAGGCAACAGCCCCAGAAGGAGUAGUUUACAAGUAGAGCUUUGUGGCCUGAAGUGGGCCAAAAAAGAAUUGAGAGAAUGAUAAAAGAGAUGUUGAUGAAGGCCAGACAAAAAUCUAAUCUUUCAAGGGAAAAAAAUGCAAUUCAUGGAGAGAGAGAAAAGGAAAAGGAGAGAGAUUAUAUAAUUUAGAGGGCCAUAAAAGCAGAGGUGGGUGAAAUGGUUGGUGGGUUGUGUAUAUGUGGAGGAGAGAGAGCUCAGAAAGCUGGAAAGAAAGCUUGGUUUGCAAUGGAGGAAACCAGAGAAAGAGAUAGUAAAGAGAAAGCAAAUGUGGUGAACAGCGUUUGCAUUUAUAACUGGGUAAAAGAAAAAAAAAAAACUAGGAGAAAAGGGGCAUAGUGUGUGUGAGAGAGAGAUAGAGAGAGAGAGAGAGUCAACUCAAAACCCAACAGGCAACAGGAGGGAACUCCAAAUCUAGCUUCAUGUGAGGUCCACUUACUAAAUUGUCCUCAUGUUUUAAGCCCAAUAACUAAAAUAAAUAUAAUAAUUUAGGUGUGAUUUGAAUAUAUAUAUAUAUAUAUAUAUAUAUAUUAUUUUAAAUUUUUAAAAAUAAAAAUUUAUAAUUUUCACACAAAAUAUAAAAAAUUUACCUUAUAUUUUCAAAAAUUAUUUUUAAAAUUUAGAUUUUUAUUUUUUGAAAGACUUUUUAUUAUUUUUUAUUUUUAAAGUGUUUAAGAUUAUUUACAUUGUAAUUAUUUUUAUUUUAAAAAUUAAAAAAUGACUAAAAUUGUAUCUUAAAUUUUUAAAUUUAAACUUCAUUUAUUUAUACUAUUAAUUCUUCUUAAUUUCUUGAUUUUUAAAUUUGUAAAAUUAUUAUCCUUUUUUAUUUCAUGAUAACUGGGUAGAUUUUAUUAACAUUAUUAUUACCUUCCUUAUAAGAAAAAAAUAAAAUAAAAUUCAACUUCUAACAUUUGUAUCAUUAAGAAAUUAGCUUUGUUUCCAUGUUUUUUAUUUAUUUCUUCUUUACCCUCUUUCCAUAAGUAUAAAUAAGAAUUAUUAAAAUAUUUUUCCCUUUUAAUUGAGGGAGUUAUAAAAAAAAUAAUGCACUCAAUUUUAAAUUAUCUUAUUUUUCAUAGAUUUAGAAAAUUAUUAAGAUUUUUCAUAUCGAGUCUAUUAAGAUUAUGUUUGAUAAUAAUUUUAGAAAACGUUUAUAAUCUUGCUAAUACUUGAAAAUAUUAUUUUUCAAAUAUUAAAAAUAUUGAAAACGAUUUCUAAAAUUAUUAUCAAAUAGACUCUAAAUUAACUUUGUAAAACUUUUUCAUAUAUUUUUUUCAUUUUUCUCCUCAAUAAAAUUGAAAUUUCACCCUCUUGCGCAUGCAAAAAACAUAUCAACCGUUUGUUUGUUUGUUAAUAAGAUUAUUCGAAAAAUGAUACGAUAAAAUUAUAAGAAAUUCGAGGGGGACACAUGAAGUGUCAAAUUCACACCCAUGUGAUUCAUGGGUCAUCAUCCUCAUCACUCCAUCUUAUGUUGUCUCUGAUAGCUAUAGUUUUAACAAAGUUAUUUGCAUAAUUUUUAUUUUUUUCCUUUUUAUCUUAAAAAUAAAUUACUUUCACCUUUUUUUCUAUACCAAUCUUUCUAAUAAAAUAAAUGCAAUUAAGUUGGCAAAAAAUUAAUAGGAUUGGCCCAAUGAUUGGGAUCUUCAAUAAGUUUACAAUAAUUUCAAAAUAAAAUUAUAAAAACACAAAACCUAAUUAGUACAAAAAAAAUAUUUGGAAUCUUGGACAUGUGAAUUUUUAAAUUUAAAAUUAAAUCUUGAUGACAUAAUUUUAUUUCUAUUAAAUUGAACUAAAAUUAAUGCCUAAUUUAUGUCAUGCAAACUAUCAUAAAAUUGAAAAUAGUUUUAAAAUAUCAUUUUAUAAAAAUAAUUUUUGAAAUUUAUUCUAUUUGGCAAAGAAAAGAAAAAACAAAUCCUCAUUUUGACUUUUUUAAGUAACCUAUUUUUAAUUUUUAGAAAAUAUUUAUGAAAAUAAUUUUAAAACGAGAGAGAGAGAGAAAGAGAGAGAGAGUGAGUGAGUGACAGGGAGAUAUUUCUUAGUCUAAAAAGAGGAAUAAGGAGAAUAAUGGCUUCUCCAAUCAAACAAGCAAGCAAAGUCUUUGUCUUAAAUACAUUUUACAUCAAAAGUCAAUUCCACUGGAUAAGUAUGUGCUUUCCACGUCGCCCAUAUUUAAACUUCUUAAAUACAUUUAUUUACUUUUGAUUUUUAAAUUUAAUAACAAUUUUUCAAAAAAAAAAAACUAAAAGUAAAAUUUUAUUGUGUUGACGACCGUUUUAGACAAAUUUUAAUUUAAUAUUGGCAUUUUGGACUUGUUUCAUAAUUGUUUUUAAAAAUUAUUUUAAAAAAUAAUUUUUUAAACUAGUUUUUAAAAAACUAAUUUUUGAUAUUUUGUAAAAUAAAAAUCUAUUUAAAAACUUCAAAUAUUUUUAAUAUUUUAAAAAUAAUGUUUACAUCUAAAACUUUAUUUUUAAUCAUUAUGGAUAUUUAUAUAAUUAUUUUUUAAAACAAGUCUAGAAAGACAAGAGAAAAUGACUAAAAAAUUUUAAAAAUAUAUAUAUAUAUUAUCUAAAAACACCAUUUUUUGUUCUUAAAAAAAAAAAAAACAAUUUUUUUGUUAUCAAACAUGUUUUUCAAUUUUUCCUUUUUAGAAAACAAAAAAUUAAUCUCAAAAAUAAUUAUCAAACACAAACUUAUUCUUUUCUAUAAAACUAAUAAAAUUUGUCAAUUACAAUUAAGACCCCCGAGUCAAUUUCUUUUUUUAAAAAAAUAAUUAAAUUUAUUCAAAAAAACUUAUAAUUUUAAAAAAAUUAAUAUAAAAGUUUUUAAUUUAUAUGAUAAUUUUUUAUGUUUAAUGUAAUUUUUAUAAUAUUAAUAUUGUCCUUUAAAAAUUAUCACAUUGAUUUCGAUUUCAAUUUUUAAUUAAAAUAAAAAAAUAAAUAAAACUUUCUCAAACUAGGGCUAAAGAUGAUUAAAAUUCAUAAAAAAAAUAAAAAAAAGAAGUCAUAAAAAAUUUUCACCCGUUAAUCCUAAUCAAUUCUCAGUGAGUCACUCAUACAUGGAAUCAAAUUAAAAAAUUUGGUUUAGGUAGAGGCAGUGAAUAUAAUAAGCAACUAAUGGUUUAUUAAAAUAUUAAGAUUAGUUAAAGUUUGAGUGGUAACGGUCCAAAAAGGGCAAUUAUGUCAAUAAAAGUUAAACUAAACCUAACCUUGUGGACUUAAAAAGAAGUGUCUGGGUGUGUUGAAUAUGAUGAGAGGUGGCUUGGAAGGAGAUAAAGCCUCCAUUUGAGGGAUGAACAAAAGCUUUGAUUUGAAGCAUUAGCUUUUGAUUAAAGUAUGCCCUAAAACUUAUCUUUUUCAAUCUUUUUUUGGACUUACAUUUAAUCUAUGGGCACAUAUGCUGUGUGUUUGUAUUGCUCAAACUAGCCAACCAACACCCAUUUGAUGCCUAAACCCAACUUUGACUUUGGCCCAUGAUCUUGACCAUCUGAUUUCUUCUCUGAAUCGGACGGUUGUAGACAUCCCAUGGGGUAUUGCUUUUAGUAGAUGAACGAGCAUGGAGGUGGACCACGUGGAUGGCACAUGGGAGGGAGGGCACCAUUCCUCAUGAGUCAUGACCCACACUUUUCAAUGUCACGAGCGUAGACCCCUUUCUCUUUUUGUGAUUAGAUCUAUUGAUGGAGAAAUGUUUAGAUGUUUUCAACCAAGUUAAGAUUUUUACAUUUUUUUUUUACUUUAAUAUUAAAGUUAUUAUUAGAAUAGAAGGAAUUUAUAUUAAAGAAUAUUAUUUAGUGUGUGCGCCUAACCUUUCUAUGAGGAAAAAUAAUAGAAAAUUGUAUAAUUUAGUGGUGGUUUGCAUAAUUUUUUAUUUUUUUUCAAAGUAGAAAAAGUAGUAAUAAGUUUUAGGAAAAAUUAAUACUAAAUAAAAUGGGAUAAUGGUGAUACGGAUUCUGAAAAGUCACAUAUCUCAUAAAUUCAUAUGACAAACCAAAUUUAUUACAAAUUUUUUACUCUUUAACGGCGAUUUAAAAUGUAACUUGCUAGAAAUAAGAGAAAAAAAACAUUUCUUUGUUUCACUUCACGUCUCAUCGAAAUUUGUAAUUUAACUAAUUUGAUCUUCUCAUUGUCAUGUUGUAGUCUUAAUAUCCCUUCUAUUAACGAUGAUGUAAAGAAAAUUUAGAGUAUUUUUCUUCAAAAUGCACAUUAAUCUCUGUCUCUCCAUGGAUAUUUUCGUUUUUUGUUUAAAAAAUCAUCUUUAUAGUCAUUUUAAUUUCUCAGGUUUUAUUUUGAGUAUAUGAGAAUCCCCUUUAUAAUAUUUCAAUUUCCAAGGUUUCUUUGAUUAUAUGAGAGAUUAUUUCCAAUUAUUUGAAUUUCUAGGGUUUUUAUUUAGGAUAUCCUAAAAAAUCUUUUUUUUUUCAAAGAUCUAUUGCAAAACCAGAGUAAUACUAUUAGAAAAUUUAUACUUCGAUUCUUACAUUUAUAGAGUUGACAAUUUUAUGACUCAAACGUAAAAAAAAAUUAUAUGACUAAUUAUAAUGUCUUCUAUCUUAUGGUUUUUGCUACAUUUUAUUAUUAUUGUCAUUAUCAUUUUUCAUCAUUUACUUUCUUUACUUGCUUCAAUUUUGCUUUUUUAUGCAUUCUUGAAGGUUUUUUUGUAUUUUAACGCUGUUCUUUUUCAAUUUUAAGGUUGAUUUUUAGGAGUUUUUCCUUUAAGGCUCCAUUUAUGAAACUUAAGAAAAAGAAAUUUGUCAUGCCAAUAGCUUUAGGAAUCAAAUAUAUGUUUAAUCCUAAAAUUUGUUUAUACAUUUAUCCCUAUAAGUUUUUUGUUUCUUUUCUUAUUAAGGUCCUCAAUGUAUUUUUGUUUUAAUAGAAUUUUUGGUUUUUUAUUUUUAGGGGAAAACAAAUUGUCAUACCUUUUCAAUAGAUUUAAAAGUAAAAUAUUUGUUUAAGCCUAAAAUUUGUUUAUACAUUUAUAUAAAUAUGCAUUUUUAUUUUAUUUUUUAUUUUUCAAUAUGACAAUCAUUUCUUGGAGAAAGAAAAAAUAGAGAAACAAAUGCUUCGAAAAGGACAAAUUUUGUACUUUAAUGAUAGAUUCUCAUUAGCACACAUCUUGAUACUCAAGUUGGUUGUAAGCUUACAAUGUUGACCUUAAAAAUCUAUGUUGCUUAUUUUUGUUGAAUAAAUAAUAUGAAUUAUUAGUCAUUAGUAUUGCAAUGAUGUUACUCACAAAGCUUUUUAAUUCAAGAAAAUGCUCUUAUUUUUCAAAAAAUAAUAUGAGAUUGCUUAAUGCAUAUUGGCAUGUGACUUUAAUUAUUUCUACUCAUUAUUGCAUUUGCAUUCAAUUUAUGUCACUUUAAACACUUGAGGGCUAUUAUUCCAUCUAAUGUAGGUUUGAGUCAAUUUACACUCUUUUUUCCUUUUAUAAAAUAUAGAUACUAUAGGAACUUUUAAUAUAAAUACACUAAUAUUAUAAUACAUUAAGAUAAGACAUAAUUAGAAACUUUUAAACUUUGUUUAUGAAACUUACAGUUGUAAAUUAUCAUGCUAUAUAAAUAUAGUAUCAAUUUGAAUCCACAAAACUUGUAUAUUUUCUUUUUUAAAUAAAAAUCAUUAAGUAAUAUUUCAAUGCAGGUAUUAAAAAACAUCUCUAAUAAUAUUACUUCUAUCAUAAAAGUUUGGUAUAAUAAAAAUGCAUGAUAGUUACAACAUAAAUAAACUCACAUUAUGAUACACUAUAGCAUGACUUAAUUUAUAAAGUUGUGAACUUUUUUUAUGAAACUGACAAUUAUGGAUUGUCAUGCUAUAUUCCCUACGAUGCUUUAUAUCACAAACCAACGAAAGAAGACAAAUAAAGCACCACUUUGAAUUCAUAAGGCAUACAAGGUUUUCAAAUAAAUAAUUGAGUACUUUGUUGGAAAUUGUGGACUAAUAAUAACUUAGAAAUACUUUCUUAUAAUUUUCAAUAGAAGAUGACAAAAUGCAAGAUAAAGCUUUUGACAUAACUUAUAAUGUUCAAUGAUAGUGAAGUUCGAGAUACCAUUUAUAGUGCAUAGGGAACACACAAAGUCCAUGAUGCUUUAUUAAGAAUAACUUAUAAUGUUCGAUGAUAAUGAAGUUCAAGAUACCAUUUAUGAUGCAUAGAGAACACGCAAAGUCUAUGACACUUUUCUUAGGAUUCAUUAGGAUUGUUUGAAGAUGAACAAUGUUAAAAUAAUUUUCAUGUUAAUGAUUUCAUUGUAUCUAUUUAUAUGCUAGUGAACUUUUUCCUUUUUGUUCUCUUAGUGGAUAGUCAAUUAAUAUGUUGUAUCUUUUGAGAAAGAAAUUAGUAUCAAGUAAUUAUCACAACAAAAAGUUAAAUAUUUAGGCAAAUAAGAGUUCGGUUGUUUCGAUAUUUGUGACAUAAAUUUUUUUCUUGAUAUAAUAUGAUACUUAAUAGUCAUCUUAUACAAAAAUUUUAUAUAGAUACUAUUUAACAUAAAGUUUCAUAUUAAUUGUUCAUACUGUAAAUUUUUUAUAAUUAUUUUCCUAGUUGAAUAUGAAUCAAGGUUACUUGAAUACCUCAUUAUUUGGACAUUAUUAAAAAAUGUAGUUACUUAUGAUGAUUUAGGCUAUUCCACAUUAAUGUCAAUUCACUUAUUACUGUUUUUCCUAGUUGAAUAUGAAUCAAGGUAACUUGAAUACCAUACUAUUUGGACAUUGUUAAAAAUUUUAAUUACUUUUAAUGAUUUAGGUUACUUUACAUUGAUGUCAUUCACUGACCAUUAUUCUUUGUACUAUCUACUUAUUGACUUUUUGUAAGAAAAUACAUAUUGUUUGUUUGAAAAAAAAAAUGAAUAGUUUUAAAUUUGACCAUAUCAUGAUGCAUCAUACUUGUAGUACUUUUACAUGAUAAUAUUAAUGUAUUUAUAUCAUAACUAUAAUUUGAUAGGCUAAAAACCUCCCUAACAUUUUACCAUUAAUGAUAUACAAUACACAUGUGGUAAAUAUAAAAAUUCAAUACAUAAAUCUGCAACUACAUAUUUAUAAUGUAUUACACCAACUCAAUUUUGUUAAAAUAUGAUUAACAUCUUCAUCCACUAGAUGCACUCUUUUUUGAAUAAGUUCUUCUACUUCUUCAUACUUGCUACUAUCCCCAGAUUCUUUAAGGGGUGAUUAUUUAAAGAAAUGACAAUCAUGUUUACUAUCGACAUAAUGACAACAAAAAUAUAACCUGUUCAAGUUAUCAUUUCACUCUAAAAUCCUAACAAUUGCCCUUUGUAUAAGUACAAAUCUGCACAUACAAUCACAACAUACUAGAUAUUUACCUCAUCUUCCAUUACUUCUAAUAUUCCUAAAUGACAAUACUUGAAGAUGUCAUGAUAUCUACAUUAUUGAAUACCCAAAAUUAAUUUAUUAAAUUUAAGAAAUUUGGAUUAAAAUAACACCAUGAAAUUACUCAUCAAGAUAAAAUAUUUAGUCACCUACCAUGACCUAUAUUAUUAUAUAUAUAAAAAAAAGGAUGAUAAUCAUAAUAAAUUGAAAAUGUCUUAUGUUGUAAAGAAAUGUAUUUAUUGUGCAUAAGACAUGCUAGGGAGUAUAGCAUAAUAAUCCUCAAUUGUGAAUUCAUAAAAGAAUUAAAUAAUUUCUAAAUUAGGUUAUAUUAUAAUAUACCAUAACAUUCGUAUAUUUAUAUAGUAAAUAUAGUGCAUUGUGCUAUACUUAUAUUUUAUAAUGAAGGUAAUAAUUUUAGAGAUAUCCAUUAAUACUGUAUUGUCGUUUGGUAUUAAUAGAUUAGAUCGAUAUAUGAGUAUCAUUCACUUAAUGCUUUGAAAUUAUUUAAUAAUUUUUAUAAAAAAAAAUAUUGAAAAACCUUGUGAAUUGAGAUCGAUAUUUUAUUUGGUUUUAAGAUUGGUUAAUAAUAGAAUACAUGCUAAGGUAUAUAGUAUAAUCACACAAAAUUGUAAGUCCUAUAAAAUGAUUCAAAACCUUUUAUAUGAGGUCUUGUCGUAAUAUUUUGUAACAUUGGUAUAUUUAUAUUGUAGUAUAGUGUAUUUGUGUUGUACUUAUAAUUUAAAACAAAAUUAAUAGGCUUAAAGAUAUUUUUUUAUACUUUAUUGGCAUCUAAUAUAUCAUAUGAGCGUAUUAACAUCUAAUAUAUCUUUUGGGUCCUUAGCAUCUACAACCAACCUUAUUUGGUAAUUUUUUUAAAUUCUAUAUAAAAAAUAUAAAUAUAUCUUUAUCUUUAAAAAUCACUAUAAAAUUUUAAAAUUUGAGGCAUUAAUUUUUUUUUUGAUACUUUAAUUCUCUUAAAAAGUUUUUAAAACCAUUUACUAUUUUAUAAUUUUAAAAACAAAAAAUAAAAAGUGUAUCCAAAUGAACACCUAAUUUGCCAUGACAAAUAUCAAAUAAAAAUAAAAGUAUAAAUUAUUUUAUAAAUUAAAUACUUUCAACAUCUUAUGUUUGUGAUAAAAAAAAUACAAAAGCAUAGUAUAAUACAAACUAAUGACUUCAAACUCAUGGUUUGUUUCCUCUUCUUUCUCCUUUUCCUUUGGAAUAAAAAUUGAAGAUCAAUUUUACGAGUUCACAUUGAAUUAUUUAAUUCUUAAUUUAUUUGAUGAUUUUUUAUUUGUUAAUUGUUUUAGGAAUAAAAAGUAAAUAUUUAAAAUAAAAUAAUUUAUAAAAGAUUGGUGCUACAUAUAUGUCAUAUUUUUACCAUAAUUUUUAUCAGAAUUUUACUAUCUUGUAAUUAUAAAUAAAUAAAAAUUAGAUAUAAUAAAAAAAUAUUUAUUUAUUAAUUAAAAAUAAUUUUCCACAUCCAAUCAUCACUUAUCUCCUUAUUAGGUGAUAAAAAUAACAGUACAAGUGAUGAGUCACAUGGUCUGACCAAUGUUUUUCUUCAUUAAAUUAUUUAAUCAAAAUAAUCAAAAUAAUUUAAUAAAUUAGUUUUAAUUUAAACAUUUUUUGGACACUCAACUAUACCAUUUUAAUGAUAUAUUUUAUUUUAUUUAUUUUUAAAUUAUUCAUAUAGUAUGGUUUGAGUAGAAAAUUUGAAAUUUGAAUAGAAUAGGGAGAUUAUAAGUCAAAGGCCAUUGAGUGCAGUGUAGAGGAGUGGAGGUGUAAGUGAUGUAAGGGCCAAGCUUGAAGUCAUUGAAAGUCUUUCCAGCUAUAUUUCUAUUUUUGGUAAGUUUGUGUGAGUGUUGAAGAAGUGUAUUUUAAGCCAUAAUGAUAUCAUUACCUUUUCUUUUUAAUAAAAAUAUAAGUUUUUUUUUUUUUGCCCUAGGCUUUCCUCAAUCAUGUCACUUGCUACUCAUGAUAUAUAGGAUGAAGUAAUUAAAAGUGGAGUUUAGUUUGAUCCUUUAUUAUAUAUAAGCUAAAUAUUGUAUUUUAAGAAAUUUUUUAUCAAGUUAGAAUAAUGAUUUUUUUUUUUUUGGUUAGAUUUGAGGAAUUUUUAUUACAAGUGAGACAUAAAUUUCCCAAUUUAUUUAAAUUCAUCAUUAUUUAUCUUCUUCACGAGAAACAUAGUCUUAAAAGAAGACUUUGUUUUUAUUUUAAUAAUAAUAAUAAUAAUAAUAAUUCUUACCCAUAGAAGAUAUAGAUUUUCAAUCAAUCUACUAAAUUUUGUUACCCUAGGCCAAUAGCAAGCAUUGUACUCAAAAUUAUGUUAUGUUAAUUGGUGUCCUUAAUCUAUAUGCUAAUUGGAUCGGUGACCUACUAUCCGUUAUCAAGAUUAUCUUUCAAAUCCUUGAGUUAUAGAUCCUAUUUAUUAUUUGAUUAAUUGACAUAUUUUAACUCCAAUGAGCAUAUGUCAAACUAAGUUCUUAAAAUAAAUUCAAAUCAAAUUCAAUGUUCAAAUAUGGAUUUAAAGAGAUCGAAUUUUAACAUAAAAGAAUAUCUUAUUUUGAAAUCAAUGGUCUUGUCAAGAUAAACUCACAUCUAAAGAUCGAUCUUAAUCUAACUACAAAAUCAAAUUUCAAAUACAACAAAUCAGGUUGAUUAUGUUUUGUUCUUAUUCUUAGAAUUUAGUCCUUAUUUAUCUUCAAGUUUAGCCUUAAUUUUGCUUACAAAUGAUCAAAAUGAAUUAUCAAUGAAUUAAAUCACAGAGAUAAGCAUUCACCAAACCAAUUCUAGUAUCAAUUGUUCUAGAUUAAGGGAUAUCUUAUAGAGGGUUUAUAUAGUAGAUAUGAUUACCAAAAACAUAGUAUAAAGGAAAUUAAAUAAAUAAGGACUCUUCUUUCUUGAAGAUUUAUGCCUUCUUGAUCUUUUUUUUGCAAAAGGAAGUAUUUAGCCACAUAUAAUGACAAUUUCACAUAAUUUCUCUAUAUUUGAUCAUCAAGAAAAUGAAAGAAAACUAUAAAUAAAAUGGAGGAAAAGAGAAAAUUUUGAAUUGCAACUCAAAUUCAAAAAGUGGAGAGAAAUCCUAAGGUUUUUCUAUCAUCUAAUUAACUCCUACUUAUAGAAGAAUAUUAGGACAAUCGACAAUCCCAUAAACUACCCAAAAAUGCCUCUUAAGCAUUCGAAUAUUCUAGAAAAGCAAUAGAACUCUCAAGUACAGGUUCAACGUACAAAAAUUGUUUAAAUCAAUUUUCAAAAGGCUAUUACAGCAAAAUUUGUCAUACCAUUCACUACUUCAGUAUUAGAAAAGCUACCCUGUACCUAAAUCACUUUUGAUCUUGAAAUUGUUGCCUUUAGGAAUCAAUUUGAAACUUAUUCCAACUACUUCAAGUAGUAUCUCCCAGUGCAGUUCACUUUCAUCAUCUUCAAAAUAAUUUUUAAUCAAUUUUUUAUAUUUGAAAUCAAUUUAACUACCUUGCGGAGUAACAUGAAAGCAAUUCCAAAACUGAUUUUAUAGUCAAAUCGAUUUACAAAUUAGUUUAGUGUUACUUCAAAACCUAUGCUUCAUCCUCUUCUCACUUGCUUCCAUUGACCUUUUUGUCUCAUUAAAUUCUUUUAAAUUUAAGGAUUAAAAUUUGUCAUCUUCAUUGCAUCUUACACUCACAUGCACAUUAGUCCAUCAUAUCGGCACUUAGCAUCGCUUUGAGCUAUAGUUGAAGUAAUUAAACACUACAUAUAGAGCAUAAAACUCAAUCUUUUAGUGCUCAAUUUUUUUGAAUGAAUCAAACCCCUCUUGUUAGAUACAAAGUUGAACUUGACAAACUAAACCUUGAGAGCUCCAUUUAUAUAUGUUUAUGAACAACCUAAAAAAAUGCAACGAAAUGGAUAUUAAACUCACUUGAAAACUGAAUUGAAUAUUAAAAACUCAAAACCAAAUUUAGAAAUAAAUUUUAUGCAAAAGUAAAAAUGUGUAAAGAAUUAACUCUAAAAAAGAUAAAUACAAAAGAAAACCUAAGUAAAUGUACUAAAAAUUAGAUUUAGUUAUAAAUAAAAAGGAAAUAAAGGAAAAAUACCCACUAUCCUUUUAUCUUUUUUCCUAAGAAUACUAAACAUUCCAUGGAUGUGAGAUUUUCUCAAUUUUUAGGGGAACUCAUAUUCAAGAAAAUUAAGAUUUCUUUAAGUUAUGCUUGUCCAAAUAUUACAAUCUUAUACUUCAACAUAAGAAACUAUUUUUUAAAUUAAGAUACUUGUGACCCUAAAUUAAGGAUUUUGCUCCAUGCAAAUUCACCACCAAAAAGUUAUCUAUCACACUUUUCCAUGAUUUUCAAAUAUGCUUGUUAUACUAGCACAUAGGUAAACUUAUUAUUGUUUUGCCUACCAUUUUAAGUGAAUGCCUAAGGUCCUUGUAUGCUAUCCAUGGGAUAUGGAAGAAGUUCUCUUACGCUUCUUAGAAAGUAGUCUCAAAACUUUUCUAAACAUCUGUAUGAAACAAGUAGUUUUAAAGUAUACUAGAAGAUAAAUGUAUCAAAUAUUAAAGGAAAUAUCAUAUAUUUUUAUCACAAUAAGCUUUAAGGUGAUGAUAUUACCUUCACUUGUUUGCUCUACUUGAUGUAUUGUCACUCAUUAAAAAAGAUGUCUUCAAUGACAAUCUCCUUCUUUCUCCAAGAGAAUGGUCACUAAGAUGUUUCUAUUACUUUGAAGUGUAGAGUUCUCCUAUAACAUUUCCUUCAAGGGUGCUUAAUAGUGAGAUAUUCAAAUGUUUCAUGUCUGUUUGAGUUGAGAACAUACUUAAGGAGUACCACCUACGUUUAAUACACUUCAAGGUGAGUUUUGUCUUCCGUGUUCCAUGCAUAGUUUGAGGAUCUUACUUUGAUGCUAGAGUAAUAGGUAUGUUAAGAAGAAAUAGUUUAAAUAAUGGCGACCUUGAUUGGACCAAAUUAAAAUCUAAGACAAGGACCUUGAUUGAUCAUAGGACAUAUGUUAUUUUCACCACAUUUUCCUCAAAAGAACCUUUAUGAGGCUUGUAACCCAACUAGAACAUAGUAAGGGGGAAAAAAAACCUUAGAAGGUUUGAUAAUUAAUCAUUAGUAACCCUUAAGUCUUAAACCACCAUAAAAAAUUCUAAGAAUUUUUAGGGUACGUACCUCCAUUUAAGAAACCUCUUUUAAGAUACUAUUUAUAUACCUACCAACUUUUGAUUAGUUUGCCUCUCUUGCCUCCUAAAUUUAGGCACCUCACCAUUUACUUAUCUACUAUAACCUUACCUAGACAUGGACCAAGAGGUAUAAACCUAACUCUGCUCUGUUUCCUAUAAUAUCAUGAGAAUGCCAUUCUAAAAGUAAAAAAGAAAGCUUCAUCACUCUUAUCAUAACCACAAAAACUAAGAAUGUUCCUACACUUUCUCUUUCCCUCAUUUUAUUCUCAUCAUAAGUAAAAAUAAAUUCACCUUUUGAUUUAAAGGCUAACUACACAAAAAGGGAAGACUCACUAGGUGUAUAAACCCAAGUACUUCUCUUUGAUAUCCUAUUUUAAUCAGCAAAGCAUUCUAACAUAGAAAAAAAAAACAUUAGAUCUAAUAUUCUUAUACCAUAGAAAGUAAUUAAAAAGCAAGUAAACAAUGUAGGCAUACAAGGACACAUAAAGAUAUUUUAUCAUUUUGUUAUUUUUUUUUAGCUAGGAACACACUUUACACAAGGUGUACAUGAGCAUGCACCAAAUUAAAUUAUUAUGUUUUGUUAGUGAAAAAAAUGAUUAAGAUUCACUUUUGGAAGAAUUCUACUUAGUACCAUGAGUGCCAAGAAAAUCACUUAUUUCCACUGUUGCAUCUAUUUAUUUUUCAAUUGUUAUAUCAAAUUUUUUGGUUAACAAAUCACUCAAAUAAAAAACGAAAAAAGAAAAAAAAAAAGUUAGUACUCUUUUGAAUGGAUUUUUUGUUUUUUUGUUUUCAAAAAUAAAAAUCAAUAGUAACCCUUAUAAAAUAUGAGAACUCUUUGAAACUUACUUUAAAAAGACAAUGAUUUAAAAUUUUGAGGUAUUAAAUAAUUUUAAAAACAAAUAUUCAAAUGAAUAUUUAGAUAAAAACUUUUUAAGAAUGUCAUAGCAUUGAUAUUUAUAUAAAAUAACUAUAUAUGUAAAAUAUGGUCGAUCUCAAUCCUUUUUUCUAAUGUGACAUGAUUUAAUAUCAAGCUUAAGAUGUUAGGAAAUAUCUCUAAUGUAUAUGAAACUUAUUUAAGAUAGAGCUUCAAUACCACUUAUCUCAUGUAUUCCUCCCUUGCAUGUGAGUUUAAAUAUAAAUGAAGAAAAUAAAUAAGCAGUCAAAUCCAAACUCAUGAACUCUCGAGUUAAAAAUGGGGGUCUAAUUAAAAUUUCGAUAAAUAAAUGUUUGAUAAAUUAAUAAUCUCAUUUAAAUAAUAAAAUCUUCUUGCCCUAACUCAGUAUAGUGUGUAUUAAAUUAAUAACCUCUUGGUUCUAAAAGUAUUUUACAAGAGUUUCACUAUAGUGUCAUUUAUUUAUCCAAAAGUUCAUGUUUUUGGGUAUUAGGAAAAUGGAACUUAACCGGAAAUAAAGCUAAUAGGAACUUAACCUUAAACAAGGUCAAUGGGGACUCGACAAAGAUCACCACCAAAAACAAGGCUAAUAGGAACUUGAUUAGGAACAGGGUCAACAAGAGUUUGGCAAAGAACACGGCCAACAAGAAUUUCACCAUAAGCAAGGUGAGAAACAUGACCUAGAAUAAGACCAUUGAGAACUUGAACUCCAAUUCCAAAUAGGUAAGGGGUAUUGGGAACUGGAAUGGUUGCCUAACAUUCACAAACGAGUUAGGUUUGCAAAUUUCGCCUUCCAGGAAUGACUUUAGCUAAUAAAGAAGUUCUGAAAAUGCUUAGGAAACCACCUUUGAUCAUGUGGAUUGAAAUUAUAUAUUAUACACCCUUAAUCAACUUAUUAGGCAGACCAAAUCAUGGUUAACGGUCAUAAUUCAAUGUUCUCGAUUGUUGUACAGUAAUGGAGAGGGCAUGACAUGAGACCAGCCCAUUAAUCCAUACCAUUUGGCCAAGUGCUUGGGCUCCUUUACUUUCCAAUACUUGCAUUUUCCCUUUCUUUUUUGGGUCCUUGGCCUUUCACUUUCGUUCAGUAGACAGAUUUGUAUCUACAUUUCAAGGCUAAAAUAUUACCAACUUCCUCUUUGUGGGCAAUAAUUUACUUUUGGCAUCCCCCCCUAAAGAUGUACUUUGAAUAAACAAAACGGAAACAUGGAGAUUUCCUGCUCAUGAAAAUGUCACAGAAUUUGUAAUUUUGUUGGUUUCUUUGUGGUCCUUUGACUGUCCAAUAAGAUGCUGUCUUCUUGGAUGCUUGCAGAAGGGCCUUUGAGAAUAACUUCAGAUAUAUUUUAUAUUUCCUCCCACACUCUUGCCAUUAUCAAUGCCCUCAUUCUUCAUUAUUUUAAUAAUGAGCACAAUUAUCUCAAUCAUGCUCUAUUAUAAUCAUAUAGUACAACUAAACAUGUAGUAAAAGGCCCUUGAACUAUGGGGAAAAUAAAAGGGAAAGUAUGGCAUUUUUUGAGGGCAAGAUUCUUUGUGAGACCCUAGGAACGAUUUCUCUUGCUCUAUGGUUUCCUCAGACUUUUUCAACUGUUCACAUUGUCUAACCUAAUGUUGAGUUUGUUUUUGCUUUUGUUUUUGUGUUUUUCUUGUUUUUAUUUUUGUUUUUGUUUUCUUUUUUAAAGGCUAGACACUUUGUUCAGGACAGUCCUCUCUAUAUAUCUUAAUGAUUUGUGGUUAAAUUUUGCAGCAAGUACAUCAUCCAUCACAAAGCUUUCCACUUGCCUAUUUUUUGGUUCAUGAUUUAAAAUAUGAACUCCAUGGGGAGGGAUGCAAGCAUAUUUUGAGCUGUUUCUUAAAUAAAUAGGUAGAUUAGGUUCUACUUUUAUUUUUCAAAUUUUUUUUAGUCCAAAAUUUAAAAACAAUUUUAAAAAUUAUAUUUUGUGUCAUAUUUUAUAUUUUGUUUUAAAAUUUCAGAUCACCUGCAUGUUAUUCUUCUUCUAAAAUAGAAUUAUAUUUAGUAACAUAUUUUAUUUUCUUUUAAAUUUGAGAGAGAAAAAAAUAGAAAAAUUAAAGGUAUUAUCAAAUUUUAUUUUUUUUGAAAAAAAAAUAAGAAAUUACACUCAUGAGUCACCUGCAUCUUAUUCUUUUUUAUCAUACCAACAAUCUUAAUGUCUCACGAGUGAAUAUUUUAUUGAAAUAUUAUCGAAAGUCCCAAAGAAAAAAAGACCCAUAAAAAAUUUUCAAAAAAGUUUCUGUACUUGUUAUUUAAUUAUAAAAAAUAUUUCUUUUUUAUUUUUAAAAUAAAAAUAAAGUUUUAUUACUAAAAUCGUUUAUGCUUAUAAAAAGUAAAACCAUAAUUAAAAAUCAAUCUUAUUUUCUACUUUUGAAAUAUUAAAAACAAAAUUAUAUCCAAAUUAUACCCAAGUAGUGUAUAAGUACUUUCGAGUUUCAAUUAAGCCAUUAGGAGAAUACAAUCCUAAGAAUGUUAAGGGUGGGGUGGGGGGGCUUGUGGUUAUCCUAACAGCCAAGAGAUGCCCCUCGAAGCUAUCCUCUGAAUUUUGUGGAAUCCAUUUUGACCCAAGUUUGAGACUUGCUCUUUUGUUUUAAUUAGGCCAUGGGUGGCCCUCGUGUGUCAUGCAUUAAUGUUGUUGUGAAAUGAAUAUCCUCGUCAUGUUUCCCAAUGGGCCUUGAAGCCUAUUGAAUGAGCUUCACUUGGAACCAAUCCCAAUAAAACAAGCAAGCUGAAAGCCCAGAGAGAGGACUGAGAAGCAAGUAGAGCUUGGACCAACUUUGCUCAGCUAAGCAAAUAUUCUUCAGCUUCCCAAUGUGAGGAGCUAGCUAGCUGUACCACAAAAGGAACUAUGAAUUCAGGGCAGCAAUUCAAUUGCUUUCCUUUUUUUUUUAACUUGAACCUCGUUCUAAAACAGGCCCAUUACUUCUAUCAGCCUAUUAAAAGACAGACCAAGAACAUGUAAUUUUCGUUUGAUCAUAUAUAUUAAUUAAUUCAACCAGAUCAAAUUGUUCAUUUUGAUUUAUCUAAGCUGCCUAACAUGUCUCAUUUGAAUUGUGACACUUUAGCCAGCCAGCAUAAUCAUUCUGAAGUAUCAAGAUUUCAGGUUUUCUGAAUCCGUUGAGUUAUAAAGCCCUUGAAGAUGGAUUGAUGUCUUGUUCAAGUGCUGACAAUUUGGAUUUUUAAACUAACAUGAGUUAAUUCAAAAUUAAGUUGAAUCUAUUGGAUAAUGACCAAACAAUAUAUAUAUUAAUGUUUUAAGUUAUGAAUGGUAGCCGACUUUGCAUAUCAUGCCAAUUAAUACUAAGGAUAAGCCUUAAUCAACACAAAUUACUAUAUCAUUGGACUUGUGGGUGGAAUUGCUUGCAGAGAGAUUAGUCCUUGGAAUCCAAACCCUACAGCCACUGCAAUUAAUUCUAAUUAGGAAUAUAUUUCAAAAGGCGAAAAAAAUUAAUCACUAGCAUAAUAAGAGAACAAUUUGAAAAUUUUUCACAUUAACUAAUUAAGCUCCAAAUGCUCACACCAUUGUCCAUUGAUCAGUUUCUCAUCAGUUGUAACAAGACCUCACAAAUAUUUCUCAUCAACCAAACAAAUACUAUUCUGUCCAUGGAUCAAUUUCACUUGCCAGGAACAAAGUUUGUGGCAUAUGCCCAAGCAUUGUUGUUAACGGGGUCGGCAAGGUGGUCAGCCAAGUUCUCCAGUGGACCCUUUCCGGUGACAAUAGCCUGAACAAAGAAGCCAAACAUGGAAAACAUGGCCAGCCUCCCAUUCUUGAUCUCCUUCACCUUGAGCUCAGCAAAAGCCUCAGGGUCAUCAGCUAGCCCUAGUGGAUCAAAGCUUCCACCGGGGUAAAGGGGAUCGGUGACCUCCCCAAGUGGUCCUCCGGCAAUGCGGUAGCCCUCAACUGCGCCCAUCAGGAUCACCUGUGUGGCCCAAAUAGCCAAUAUGCUUUGUGCAUGCACCAAAUUAGGGUUUCCCAAGUAGUCCAGUCCACCCUCGCUGAAUAUCUGCGCACCAGCCUUGAACCACACUGCCUCCCCAAACUUGACCCCGUUGCGCGACAGAAGCUCCGGGAAGACGCAUCCGAGAGCUCCAAGCAUUGCCCACCUGCAGUGGAUGACCUCAAGCUCACGAUUCUUGGCGAAGGUCUCCGGAUCAGCUGAGAGGCCUGCAGUGUCCCAGCCAUAGUCACCAGGGAACUCACCAGUCAAGUAGGAUGGUGGCUCACCAGAGAAGGGCCCCAAGUACUUGACUCGGUCAGGGCCAUACCAGGGGCUUCCUGAAGAAACUGCUUUAGAUUUUGCCACAGAUUUUCUCAUUGUGACUCUUCCUUGAUCACCAGCAAGAAGCUCAGUGACAUUGGGUGCAAGCUUCACAGCUUGUCCAGCAAGGGAAGGAGAAGAGAGAGCCAUUGUUGAUGAAGUGGCCAUAGAUGUGUAGAGUGAAUAUUGGUUUUCUGAGUAGAGUUGAUGGUGUGGUGGUGUGGUGGUGUGAUUUAAUACCAUAUACUGAGGGGUCCAUAUUAUCCUUAUCACUAUCUUUAUCUCUUCUCCCAUUGGCGAAAAUGAAAGUUUUAAGGAUUUUCUUGGUGUUUGUUUGGAGUUGGCAUGCAUCAGCUUUCCUUCUCCUCCACCAAUUUCUUUGGAGAGUUGGUUUAUGCCUUAAUGGAUGUGGGGCAUUUCCAGCCUUUGCUUUAGAUUUCUUGGCCUCCGUGCACCUAAUCAAAGUUCCACACAUGUUGCUUUCAGAUGAGCUUUAGGAUGUGGACACUGGAGAGCCACGCAAAUUUCAAAAGUAAUAAAAUCUCAAUCUGAAGCAUGACAUGUGAUGAUGUAGAAUUUAUUAAGAGACAGUUAGUUGAGGUAGUGGAACUGUUGUUUUAAUGAAGAUAUUUUAUUAUCAAUAAAUAAAUAGAUAAUAAAAGCAACUAUUUUUCCGAGGUAAUUAAUUUUAUGCUAAUUGUAAACUAUCUUAAAAUUUUAAGACAUACAAUAUUUAACCUAUUUUAAAAAAUGUAAAUUUUAAGAUAAAAGUUACAUUGGACAAAGGUAGAUCUCUCUAUCUAUAUAUCAAUCCAUAUGUCUAUAUAUAUAUAUAUAUAUAUAUAUAUAUAUAUAUAUAUAUAUAUAUAUAUAUAUAUAUAUAUAUAUAAUAUAUUAAGGAUUGACAUGUGGUAUAGUGCAUGUUUCACCUUCUGAAAAGUGGUGGCCGUACCUCUACUUGUGACCUUCCUCUAUAACACAAGGAGAAAAUGAUUAGAGUGGGACAACCAAUUUAGCCAAUCCCUCUGUAAUGGUGAAGUUAGUUAUGGGUGGUUAGAGGGGUUAAUAGAAAGAUACUAAGAGAAUGAAUAAAGAUUUAGAAUGAUACCAAGUUGGCUCAAAUGAUCACUUAAUCCAAUAAGAAAGUGUAUAUAAACCCUUUAGAGGUACAAGGCCUAACUUUUGGCCAUUGUUUUCCCAAGUCUAGAAAAGAAAAUUUUAACCUCCCUUAAGAGAAAACCACAUUUUUCUUGUGCCAAAGAUCCAUAAAAAGAGUGAUCGGACGGAAAAUCUUUGGGUAUACAAAAUCUAUGACACCUAGGCUUUGACAUAUGAGUGAAACCUUAAAGUGGUUAUAUACUCCCUAUGAAUUGAGUCACUAUUGUGGAGGUUGUUGGCAACAGACAUUCUAAAUAGAAACAUCAUGAUAUCUCAUGGAAUUAAGACAUUGUUUCUUCUUAGGUGAUCCUAAGGACAUGCAAUUAAGAAACCUAUGAUCAUAGUAAUUUUGUAUAUACUCUUCGUAAACUAAAAUAUGUUAUUUGAUCACAAAAUAGGAGGAUCUAUAAUUCAAGAAUUUGAGAGUUAAUAUUAAGAUAAUGAUAGCAUAUACUUUGUUAGAUUAUAGAAACCAAUUCAUGGAGAGUCUGCAUGUAGUGGAUAGAAGGUUAGGGACCCAAGCUUUCUCUCGUUGUAAAAUUAUAGGAUACUAGAGUGCAAUUAACUCUUUAUAGUGUGAUGUUAAGUCAACUUCAAAAUUGGAUUUUGAGCGGGCCAAAAUUUUCCUAUAGGUCUCAAUGGUUCUUAUUUGAGCUUCUAAUUCAUCACUACACGUUUCUUUCAUGGAAUUAUGUUUUGUAAUUUGUUAGUAUGUAUAAAGGCAUCGGGGUAAAAUACAAUAUUACAUUAGAUCUUAUAAAUGGUCUUUUCAUAUUAGUUUAAUUAAUUAAUUAGAGCCUAAUAAGGAUAAUUAAUUAAUUAGAACAAGUAGGUUAGAUUAAAUGAACAAGCCCAAAUUGGGCUCAAGUCAUUUAAGCUCAUAAGAAAGCCUUCUAAACCCUCUUAGGGCUUAAAUAUUGGUCAUUAUUUCCCAAAUUCCAUAAAAGAAAACCCUAACCUUCCUGUAGAGAAAUGCCAACCUUCUCUUGUGUCAAAGAUCCAUGAAAUGAGUGAUCAAUCAGAAAAUCUUUGGGUAGACGAGAUUUAUGAUGCCUAUAAUAUGUUUCAUCUUAUUAGAAUCGAUUUGGGAACAUUAAUUUAGAUCGCAAGUAUGAUGCUUUUCUCUUUAAAUCUAUGUUAUUAUGGUUUUAAUUGUCAUGUUCUUCCACUGUGUUUAGAUUUGAAGAAGUUUAGGAAUAGUUAGCAUGCAUCCUACAAGAUCCAAGACCAAAGAAUGGAGUACUUCAAGUUUCCCUAUAGCUAGUUGACCACAAGUGCUUCACUAAUACACUUAGGACUAUGUUUCAGAUGGGGGUCAUUGAGGGGCCACUAUAUAAAUUUUCAUAUUCUUACAUAGCUACCUCUUCCCCCUCUAAGAUUUGAAAUGUUUUCCUCUUACUUUCAUAGGGGGUUCUAAUAAAAGAAAUAAAAACCCUAAUCCCAAAUUUGUCAAAGGCUCUUAGGAUCCCUAUGACACCACCUCAUAAGAGGGUGGUCGUAGGAGAGAAGUUUACCCAGUUCAAGACGAAAAAACCUGAGAAGGCAAAGUUGUCCCCCUCUCUCAUUAUAGAAGCUAUGUUCCCUAGCAGCUUCUCUCAACACAUAUCAAGCCUUUCUUCCACAACAUAUGCCAUCUCAAAUAACUCAUAAGGCAGGCAUCUUCCCCCCAAAUGAUUGAUUUUUCCAUUAAGUGGGACCUCACUAUGUGAAGCUCUCUAGGCAUAAGCCUACAACAUGAUAUUCUAAAGGAAGAGUGUCAUAAGAAGAGUUUCAAGCAUUGAAUAAGAUCAUCUCACCUUUGGACUCUCAACACCUUGAGUUUACAAUUGACGUGGUAUGAGGAUUUUUCUACUCACUUUUCUUCGUUUGCUGUUUUUUUCUAGUUUCUAACUAUUUUCCUUACAUGAUUACCUCUAAUUUUGUUUAUUCAAGUUUUCUAGUAAGUACCAUGAGCUAUUGAUGAAUCAAGUGAAGGAGGUGAAGUACCUAUGAUUGUCUUUCAAUAGAAAGGUCGUAGUCUAGGCCCAAGUUGAGGACCUGAUCUUAGCCUUGGAUAUAUAGUUGACCAAGAAAUUCAAGGAAUUGAGGAAAAAGGAGAAGGUGAUUGCAUUUCAAACAUCAAUUUCUAUAUUGUAUAUGAAAAACAAAGCCCUUUGAACCAAAGAACAUCUUUCUUGACUUCCAUAUUAAGCUUUUUUUUUAAGUUACAUGUUCUUUGAAUAAAUUAACCAAACUAGCAUGAAGCUCUUAUUGAGUUACAAAAAUGUUUUUGACUUCUUAAUAGUCAAUUCAAAUAAUAUCUACAUAAGAAAAUUGUUACAAGUUAAAAUGACUUAUCAAUUUGCUUCAACAAUAUACUUGAUAAAGUAAUUUUUUCGUAAAAAAUAAUAAUAAUAAGGAGAAUUUGAGUGGCAUGUCUAUUUAACAAAUCGAAUUGCAAAGUUUCCAAUUUGAGUAGUAUUGCUCAAUUAUGAUAUUUAAAGUCAUUGGAUGUACAAAGCUAAUACUAGAUUUUUGGGAUAUGACCAAGUUACUAUAAAGAUCAUAACUCAUAUGAGUCUUAGUUUAACAAAAAAAUUAUAUCACAUGUCAAAGAAUGGCAUUUGUUGAAUAACCAAUUUAAUAAAUAUAUCAUUUUUUGAAUGCAAUUGUACUUGGGUUGAGGAAGAAAACAUUAACAGGCUUAAAACCUCACAUUAUUUUUGCAUCAUUAAUUUGAUCCAAGCUCAAAUCCAUACAUAAAACUCAAAUUGUCUAAGGUGGUGUUUGUUUUUUGGCUUAAUAGAAAAAGUCAAAAUAUUUGGUUUUUUCUAUUCAGCUAAAAGUAACAUGUUGACAUCAUCCAACAUAACUAAACUGAACCUAUUGAUAACAAGUUCAUUUUAGCUAUAUUGGAUGAUGUCAACAACUUACUUUUAGCUUAAUAGAAAAAGCCAAAUAUUUUGGCUUUUUCUAUUCAGUCAAAAAACAAACACCACCUAAGUCUAAACUGAAAAAUCAUUGUCCGAUAGGGUAACACCCAAAGGAGGUGAGUGGGUGAAUUUAAAAUAUAUAUAUCAGAGCCAUCGGGAAGGGAAGUUGGGUCUUGUUUUGGGUGUUUUUGGCCUAUCCUAGGAUAGGUAGCAGUGUGCCUAGGAGAGCGAGCCCUGCCGAUUGAGUCGUUGUUAGUCGUGGAUAGGCGUUUGUUAAGCUGUAAGAGGGUUGGGGUGACGUCUCAUAAGGUUUGUCAAUCUGCUAUUAGGCUCUAGAUCAAAACCCUAAAAUGAGUUCAAUUUUCAGAACCAUGUCUAGGAGAUCCAGUGAUUCUCAAGAUACUGUUGUAAACAGUGAAGAGAUCAAUUAUCCUAAGAUCCAAAAUGAUUUAGAUGAUUGGAAGUUACCCAAGGUGUCUAAUCAAGAAAUUUAUAAGAAAGGAACCUUUAAGUUCUUCACAAAUUAUACCAUUAAGACCUCUGAAAUGUUAGUCAGCUUAGAACAAGACGACCAAGUCAUAAGACUUCUAGAUAACAGAUCCAUUGAAAAGCAUAAGAAAGAUGACUAUAAUUUCAUACACUUUGGUAUGAUUCAAGUAGCUGCUAAGCCUUUGACAAGAUUAGGUUUAAACACCUCUAUUGUCAUGUGUUUAAGGGAUAAUAGGCAUCUCGAAUAUCGAGAUUCUAUUAUAGGCGCAGUCCAAGCUGGACUGAAUGAUGGCCCAGUUUAUUUCCAGUGUUAUCCUAACUUCACAGUUAGAAUAAGAGAUGCAGACAUCUUAGAUUCCGUUGUCCUGCAUAUUAAGACCCAUGGCUUUAAGAUCAAACCAGGAAACAAUCCUGUUUCAAUCAUAACCAGGUUUGCCUAUAAGAGCAUGAACACAAGCGUUGGAUCUGGGGCUCUUUGCACCAGUCCUAAAGGUGAGACCACUUACUUUCACUCAGAUAUGCUAGAUAAGUCAGAUUUCAUCAUCCCCAAGAAGAUCUUAUAGAAAGAUGUUGAGUUUCCUGAAAAUUGGCAUUUUGUUAAUGUUGUUCCAGCCAUUGCACAGCGUUCUGAAAGUAUUGAACAAAUUGUUCAAUAUCCUGAUGGAGGAGGAGAACUAGUUUUCUCCAACUCUUUCAGACAUUCUAGCAGCCCUAGAGUUUCAGUUUAUGAACCCUCUAGAGCUUCAAGCUCUUCCAUCCCAGUUAGAACCACUAGAGAAGAAGAAUACAGCUUAGGAAAUCCUAAGAAUAUUAAGCUAACAAGUGUUAAAAGGCACACCAACUUGAUUAGACCAUUUUACACAGAGGAAAAUGAGUCUACUCAGGAAUCCCAACAGGAUGAGUCUCCUGUUAUGUCUCCUACAUAUUCCCAGAUGAUUAACACUAUAAGCCUAAGUGAUAAGGACUUUGAGAUCAACAAGGAUCUCUUAAGAAAGGACUUUUAUUCUGAAGUCAAUAAGCAAAGAAAUGAUUGGUUCUUUAGCACUAUCCCUAAGGUCAUUAGAACCAUUUACCAAGAAGAAUUCUAUGCCUAUUUAAGACAAGAAAAGAAAAAUAUUAAGUUUUGGAUUUGGUUUGAACUCUUCAAACAAGAGGAAUAUUCAGAUUAUCCUUGUAAGCGUAUUAACAACACCUCUACAAAAGCUAAGAUAUGGAAAACCAGUGACAACAUUGUUAUAGAAUUCAUUCAUCCUCCUGAAGCUAAGAUAGAAAAGAAUAUUAAUGGAACCGUAGUCACAGCUUCACCUUUUAAGACUAAGCCAGAGGAUAAAGGAACUGCUAGUGCAACCGAUAUUAGAAGGAUUAUGGAACAAAUCAAUUAUACUAAUAUGUUUCUCAUAACCAUUGGAAAUCAAGUCAACAGAGUUGAGGAGAUUAUUGAAACUCAGGAUCACCUUAAGAAGCCUUUUGUUAAGAAUGAUAAUAAGCCUUUGUUUAAGCCUUUUGAAUUAUCUAAGAAAUUCCAGGAAAAUCCUCAAAUUGAUCAAGCUUUCAUUGAUAGAAUAAGCCAAAAUGUUAAAGAUAAUCUUGUUAUCCCUGAAACACCUCAAACUUUUGCUAUGCAUGAAACACCUCUACCUUCCCAUAAGAGAAUCAUUUUGGUUAAAAGGGAUAUUAGUCCAAAAGCAAAGGAUAAUGGACUAAUUAGGCUAACCAGAGAACCUUCUAUCCAAAACCCUUUUAAAGAUCAUAGUGAUAAACAAGAGAUUAUCCUUAAUACCCUGACUAUUAAAGAUCUUCAAAAAGAAAUAGGGCAGUAUAAAAAGGAUAUUAAGAACCUAAGACAACCUACAAGCUCAGAAUUCCCUAUCCCUCAUGAUUAUAUCAACAAGGUAGGUUUUUACCACAGUAGUCCUAAAAAGGAAGACUUUGAAGAAGUUCUUGAAUCUUCACAAGACAAUAGUGAUAAGAUAAAUGCAUACUUAAAUACUAUUAGUAAAGUUAUCUUCCAAAGGUGGGAAGUCUCCCUUACUAUAGUAAUUAAGAAUAAAUUUAUCCUUGAUAUUAUUGCUUUAAUUGAUUCAGGUGCAACUUUGAAUUGUCUUCAAGAAGGUCUUGUACCUACCCAAUUUUAUGAGAAAACCAGGCAAGCCCUUUUUGGUGCUAAUGGUAAAAAGCUUAUUAUCAAGUACAAGCUAUCGAAUGCCCAUAUGUGUAACCAAGGCAUUUGCAUUAAGCAAACCUUCAUUCUUGUUAAAGAUCUCAAGGAGAAAGCUCUCCUUGGAGUCCCUUUCUUAAGCUCCAUCUUUCCCAUGUGGGUAGAUGAUCAAGGUAUAAGAACUAAGCUUUUAGAUAAGGAAAUUCUGUUUGAAUUUGCCAAUCCACCUGAAAAAAGAAGUAUAAACACCAUAAAAGAUCAAGUGAUUAAGGCUAAGCAAAAUCAUAUUAAUCUCUUAAAGCAAGAGAUUGAUUUGGUUAGAAUAGAAGAUCAAUUGAAGGUUAAGAAAACUCAAGAUACCAUAGAAAAUUUUAAGAAUAAAAUUAUUAAGGAAGUGUGUUCUAACAUUCCUAAUGCUUUUUGGCACAGGAAGCAGCAUGAGGUAGAAUUACCUUAUGAGCCUGAUUUUAGUGAGAAAAAUAUUCCCACUAAAGCAAGACCAAUCCAAAUGAACAAGGAUUUGUUAAGCUAUUGUGAAAAAGAAAUCCAAGAUCUCAUAGAUAAGAAGUUGAUAAGGAAAUCUAAAUCCCCUUGGAGUUGUUCAGCCUUUUAUGUUCAGAAACAAGCUGAACUAGAAAAAGGAACACCUAGACUAGUCAUCAAUUAUAAGCCCCUCAAUGAUGUUUUAAGAUGGAUCAGGUAUCCUAUCCCAAAUAAAAAAUACCUCCUUCAAAGAUUAGUGAAGUCCAAAGGUUUCUCUAAGUUUGACAUGAAAUCAAGAUUUUGGCAAAUCCAGAUUGUGGAAAAAGAUAGGUACAAAAUAGCCUUUGUGGUCCCAUUUGGUCAUUAUGAGUGGAAUGUAAUGCCCUUUGGCCUUAAGAAUGCACCUUCUGAGUUUCAAAACAUAAUGAAUGAAAUCUUUAACCAGUUUUCUGAUUUCAUUAUUGUUUACAUUGAUGAUGUUUUGAUUUACUCAGAUUCUGUUGAGCAACAUUGGAAACAUCUCAAUAAGUUUGUUGAGACUGUUAAAAGCAAUGGUUUAAGCUUGUCAGCCACUAAGAUUAACCUCUUUCAAACUAAAGUAAGAUUCCUAGGUCAUCAUAUUCACCAAGGAACAUUCAUCCCCAUUCAAAGAUCAAUUGAGUUUGUUGAUAAGUUCCCUGAUGAGAUUAAGGAUAAAAAACAAUUGCAACGUUUCUUAGGAAGCCUUAAUUAUGUGUCAGAUUUCAUACAAGAUUUAAGCCAAUUAUGUGCCCCUUUAAGACAAAGACUUAAGAAAAAUCCAGUUCCUUGGAAUGAGGAUCAUACCAAGAUUGUUAAAAUAGUAAAGUCUAGAGUCAAAACCUUACCAUGUCUCGCCUUAGCUGAUCAUAAAGCCUUUAAGAUUGUUGAGACUGAUGCUUCUGACAUAGGUUUUGGUGGAAUUCUUAAGCAAAGAAGUAAUAAUCAAGAAUUGUUGGUUAGAUUCACUUCUGGAACUUAGAACCAUGCCCAACUCAACUACAACACCAUCAAAAAGGAAAUUUUAAGCAUCAUUUUAUGCAUUUCAAAAUUUCAAGACGAUCUUUUGAAUCAGGAAUUUUUAUUAAGAGUGGAUUGCAAAUCUGCAAAAUCAGUUUUACAAAAGGAUGUUAAAAAUAUAGCUUCUAAACAUAUUUUUGCUAGAUGGCAAGCUAUUUUAAGCAAUUUUGAUUUUCAAAUUGAGUAUAUUAAAGGAGAAAAUAACUCAAUCCCUGAUUUCCUAACUCGUGAAUUUUUGCAGGAUUCACAAGAUCAUGGCUCCCAAAACAGAAAAGCAAUCCUUUAAGAAAUCAUCAUCUUACAUGAAACCUCAUUCAGUCUUAUCAGAAAAAUUCAAACCUUUGUAUUAUGAUUUUGCUUCGAGAUCUCAGGAAUCUACUUCUGAUCCUAAUCCUCCAGUUCUUAAGCAUCCUUCUUCCCCUAUUGUGGAAGAAGGAAAUAUUUCUGGUUCUCUACCUUUGGUGGAAGAACUCAUCCCCUUAGACUUCUCUACUUUUGAUACUAACCCCUUAUCUAUUCAUAAGAGUAUUUGUGAUUUGUAGGCUAGGUGCAGGACCCUUGAAAAAAGGCUAGAAAUAGCUAAUUUUCCCAAAGAAGAUAUAAGCCAAGCCCCUUUUUCCCCAUUGGAAAUUGGUGAGAAAAAACCAUUCACCCCACUAGUGAAUGAGAAAUUAAGUAAGGAUGAGCAGGAGUGCAUUAUCUUUAGAAUGUUUCACCGAAGGAAUGAGAUCCUGUCCACUCUUAAGCCAGAUGAUAUUUAUCAGCUAAUUUGUGAAAAAGCCAAGUCCAGUGCAGAAGAAAAGCAAGUUUUUAUUUCGGCUUAUCUUCAGGAUCUGCACAUUUAUCUCUCAGCCAUUCCUGGUCUCAGUGUUCCAGGAUUAAAUUUAACUAAGGAAAUGGAAUUUGAUGGCUCAAAACUUUGCAGAAAUUGUAUUGAAUCGCUUCUUCAUCAACAUGACAACAAGCCAAUUUGCAACUGCAAUAGAAAUUUCACUAUCAGUAGAACUGCAAUUGUAUUGAGUCUGCAUUGAUCUAUAGUAUUACCAGCCAAUUAACCUUGCUUUCAAAUGAGAAGUUUUAAUCCUAACUCCUGAAAAGCUUCUUGAUUAUGGAUUGGUUUACCAACUUAUCUGUUCUGAUCCAAGUCAAGCUAGCAAUUUUGGCAGAAAGGUUAACCUAAGCUUAACCCAAGGUUUUAAGUUAAACAAGAAGUUUGUUGACGCCAUUUUUAUUAGCAAAGCUCCUGAAUGGAUUUCUAGAGGCAAAAUUCUUCCAGCCCAACACUAUGUUAAUCUUCAUUACCAGAAUAGAAGACCUACUCUUCUGUCCAGUCCCUUAGUUCAAACCGAUAUUUGUGCAGAGCCAAUUAUUAAGCAAAUCAAGCAUUGGAGAGCCAGAUUAAUCAGUAGAGACUUUGAAGCCUACCCAAAAAACAUGGGGCAUCUCAUUGCUGCGGAUUCCCUACAUCAGAUAUUUUGCAGUAAAAAGAUUGACCCUUUACCGUUCAAAUCCACUUUUCAAGAUACUCAGCUCCUAAUGGAUCACCGCUCGGAAUAUAUUCCUCCCUAAUUAAUUGAUCAGCAGUCAUUUCAGCCGAAAGCAAGAUUCCGGGUCAAAAGUCAAAAGUGCUACAGUUCCCUCUUACUGUUCACUUUUACUAUUCAAGCACGGGUCUACUGUUCAUUGUUACUAUUCAAGAUUCCUUUUGGCCUAUUUAAGGGGGCUCGGUCCUCAUUUGUAAGCACGCAUAAUUUUAGUUAUGUUUCUCUCCCAAGCUUAUGCUCUCCCUUCUCUCUUCUUUCUCUCUCAUCAUGUAAACCCUUCAAGCUUUCAAGCUUUCUCCAAGCUUUCCUAUCCUUGUCCAUUGUAAGAUAUUUCUCCUUAUGUAUAAUAUAAAUAUGUUUUGAUUACCUCCUAUAUGGAUGGUUUUUAAUUAAGUUUUGUUUUCAUUUCAUUUUAUGUUCUUAUACCUCCUACAUGGAUGGUUUUAAUUAAGCUUUGUUUUUAAUUUUAUGUUUUUAUUUUGUACCGCCUACAUGGUCGGUUUUAAGCUUAUCAUGAACUAACAAGUUUUUUGGUUCCUUCUCUUUAAAUUUCUUGUUGGAUAUCUUUUGUAUCAUCUAACCCUCUUCUUUGUUAUAUAUAUAUAUAUAUAUAUAUAUAUAUAUAUUAAAAAGGAAGUUGAAUUCUUAACUCAAUUUUAACUUGUUAGAUAUUAGGAAUAAUCAAAAUAAUAAAAUAAACAUGCAAAGGACACAAUAAUUUUUACAUGAAAAACCCUUACACUAACUAUACUGAUAAAAAACUACAGGGUCUAUGAUCUCAAAUCUAAAUCCACUACAUGUGACCAAGUCACACAUAUUUACCUGGUUGUUUUACGAUAAAAAAUUACUCUCUAAAACUUACAACUUGAUCCACGUCUUCAACGCAACAAUCUCCAAUUGUUCCAGUGAAUACAUCUCAAAUUCACUGAAGGGAUGUAGGUCUUCCAAGAACCCAAUAUUCAAUCUUUAAAUCUUUCUUGAGAGAUUGAGAAUGACAAGGCAAGUUAGGUUGAGUCUCUCUCAAUGUGUUCUCUAAAAAAACAUUUAGAUAGAGUAUAUAUUAAAUAAAAAAAAUAAAAUUAAAAAAUUAAAAACUAUUGGAAUUGGAAUCAAUUUAGAAAUCAUAUUUUACUAAAAAACAAUUUUGAAACUUAAGAGUUCGAAAAAGAUUUGGAAAGAUUUCAUAUUUUAAAUUUAAAAAAUAUUUGAAAUUUUUUUUCUAUUUAAAAUUCCUUUCCAAAUUAUUUUGAAAAGAUUUUUUUUUUAAUUCUCAAUUUAAAAUUCUUUCCAAAUAAUUAAAAAAGAUUUCAUAUUUUAAAUUAAAAAGAUUUGAAAAAAAAAUCUAUUUAAAAUUUCUUUCCAAAUUAUUUUUAUUAUUUAGAAAGAUUUUUCUUUUUAACUUCUUAAUUUAAAAUUGUUUUCAAAUAAUUAAAACAUUUUCACUCAAUUAAAAUUUCCAUUUUAACCGUACCUUACCGGCAAAAAGCUAACUUAUCUUUACUCAACCCUUUUAAACUUGCCUAUAACUUUCUAGUUGAAUGAACAAUAACAUUGAAUUUUCAAUAGAAAGUAAGUUACUAUUUAAAAAGUUUCUUAAGUAAAAAAAUAAUUAGAACAAAAUUGUCAACAUACAAUAUAAACUCAUUGUCCUAACACAAACCAACCCAAAGAUCAAUCCAAGUUGUUCAACCUAAGCCUAAUCUACGCCUAUUUUCUAAACUCAAAUUCAAGCCAAAUUAGGCUCGUAUUAAUAAAUUUAUGUUUGGACUAUUUGGGUUAAUAAGUACCACAUAAGUUUAACAUCCAUUUCUUAAAUAUUUUAUUAAUCAACCUAUAUUUAAUAAAUAAAAGUAAUAUUUAUUUAACUAAUUUUUGCAAGUCAAUAUGUGAAUAUGUAAAUUUAUAUUACUCAUCUAUUCAAUCAAUCCAACAAUUUCAACUAAAUAUAAUCAAUAAAAUGAAUCAAAAGUUAUAAUCAAUAAAUAUAUAAUCUAUUUUAGGUUAGGCUCGGGUUAAUAAUUUAAUCGCUUAAACUCAAUACAAAUUACAAAUUAAGUUGCUCAAACCCUUUAAAAUGAAACCUACAUGUCCAAGUUGUAGCUCUACUUUUCACAUCCUUUCAAUUUUUGUCUUCUCUACAAUUCAACCCCAAGUUCAACUUAAUAGUGAGCGGUAAAAGUAUCCAUUAGUUCAUUCUUGAGCUAUAUGUAGAAGUUUAAAAGUUAAUCCUAGGCAUUAAAAAAAUCAAUGACUAAAUAGAUUUUAAAAUAUCUAACUUUAGAGAUUCUUGAAACUAGGGUAUAUCAAAUUUUGGCAUGCAUUAAGUUGGGAGUCAGCCCUUAGAUGAGAUAAGAAAGGCAUUAGAAGCAAAUCUGGGCACGACUCCUUUGUCAUGCGAUGAAUGAAUGGAGAGAAGGUUCCUUCACAUGCAAAACUUCUCUAUAGUUGGACGGUUUCACUUUUCUCGUAUUAAUGGGAAGGGAAAGGAAAGUGUUAGGUAGAAAACAGAUAGGAGUUUCACAUGAAUUCAUGCGUGCGUCCACUUUCAUUUGAUCUUCAAUGCAUUCAAGAAGCCAACUCCAUUGAUAGCUGUAGAAAAUAUGAUCAAGAAUAUUAUUAUCAGCCAGAAAUGCAAUUUCAAAAUCAUUUUGGUGCAGAGAGAUAUAGCAAAUGCCAAAGUGUGUUGUUUCCCCAAGAUUGAAAAAAAUAUAGGAUUUGUUUGGAAACUUUUGGAAAACAAUUCUCAAAAAACAAUUUUUAAGAAUAAUUUUCAAAAAAUAUAUAUAUUUUCUAAAACAAAAAUUUGUUUAAAUUUUUGAAAUAUUAUUAACAUAUUUUCUAUAUAUCCAAAUAUUUCUUAAAACUAAUGGUUUUUAUAGUGUUUUAUUUUCAAUCAUUUUCUAUCAUCAUAUAAUUGUUUCUAAAAAAAACUCUUAAAAAUAAAAUGUUUUCUUAAAGAGCAUCCUAUUUUCUAAAUAAGUUCUAUCAAAAAAGUGCUUUUUUGUCCAAAAAAAUUACCAAAAACAUGUUUUCAAAUUUGGACAAUAGUUUUCAAACUAUUUUUAAAAACACUUCACUAACAAUUGCUCAUAAUAUCCUUCUUUUACCUUGCCAUAUCAUUUUUUGUUAAUGAUAUUUUUAGAUAUUUCUACAAUAUUUUGCAUCAUCUCAUACUCUCUUGCAACAACCCUUUCCAAGGAAGAAACUUUUGCAAAAUAUACUUGAUAUAUCUCCAAGAUUUUCAUAAUCAUUCUCUAUUGGAACAAAUGGGUUUAUAAAUAUGGAAAUCCAGAUCCUCCAUACACACAAACUAAUUCUUAUCAAGGCUAUGCAUUGUCUGACAGACCUAAGAGUGAUUUUCAACAAUAAAAACCUUUUCCUUUUUGGUUCCAUUUAAUUAAAGUAUCUUUGGGUAACUAUAUUAGAAGUACUUAAAAGUAGAGGGGCUAACAAAUGCAAUGGAGUUCUCAUGAGUGAUAUCUUCAUCAAGCAAUUUUCUCCUUCACUUUAGUAAGCUACUCCUCUCACAAUAAGGAAGCUCUAUUAUUGUUUGCUGCAGUGUGAGGUAUUUCUUUAGACAAUAACUUCCCCAAAAAGAAGGAAAAACUGGUACUAUAUUCAGUCAGCUUCAUUUCUUUAGUAAAAUGGCCUGUAUUAAUGUUUAAAUUUACAUGGAAUUGCAUUCCCAUGUUGAACCCAUCUUCCAAGUUGUUAAUACCCCAUUAGCUUCUCUAAGCUUGAAAACACAUGGGCAACGUUAGGGUUUUAGCUUUCUAUAUCACAAUAUGCUGCAUAGCAUUCAUUGUGUCCAAGGUCAUCAUUUCAUUUCUCCUCUACCAGAGAUGGAAGAGAAAGCACAGCAUUUUCCAGGACAGCAUAUCAGGUACGUGCUUAUUGAAUCUUGAUGGUCUUCUAGAACUGAAAACUUGCAAUAAAGUUUAAGCACAGGUGUUGGUAGCUAACAUCUUAAAAUAUGCCAAACCCCAGUUGGGAAGAUGGUGAUUUUCAGGUCAGAGUUGAUGCGAUGUCUGACAGAGGAUGUGUUUCUGAAGAAGACGAUGAAGCUGACGAAUAAGGAUAUACUGGGUUCAGGAGGGUAUGGGACGGUGUACAAGCUCACGGUGAAUGAGUCGAUUGCAUUUGCAGUAAAGAGAUUGAAUAGGGGGAGUGAGGAUAGAGACAAGGGGUUUGAGAGAGAGUUGAAAGCAAUGGGAGAUAUCAAGCAUAGGAAUAUUGUAACUCUUCAUGGCUACUUCAGAUCGCCUCAGUACAAUCUUCUUAUAUAUGAGCUAAUGCCAAAUGGAAGUUUAGAUGCAUUACUUCAUGGUCUGCACUUCCAUGCAUUUUUCUUCUAAUUCUUUAAUUCAUGAUUUUUAUUUUUCCUCAUCCCAAUUGUAAAAGGAUUCUACUUGUCCCAAAUGCAGGAAAAUCAAGCAACAAGAUGACUCUGGACUGGCAUUCGAGAUACAAAAUAGCAGUGGGUGCAGCACGGGGCAUAUCGUAUCUUCACCAUGACUGUAUCCCUCACAUAAUUCAUAGAGAUAUCAAAUCCAGCAAUAUACUGCUUGAUGAUAACAUGGAAGCUCGAGUUUCAGACUUUGGACUAGCCACAUUAAUGGAACCAGAUAGGACUCAUGUUUCCACAAUUGUGGCUGGGACCUUUGGGUAUUUGGCUCCAGGUUCCCUCUCUCCCUCUUCUUUUGUGUGUGUGUGUGUAUGUGCUUGUGUUCUACAUGUGUCUAAUAGUGGGGUGCUUUCCAGAGUAUUAUGAAACAGGUAGAGCAACAGCAAAAGGGGAUGUUUACAGCUUUGGGGUUGUUUUGCUUGAGCUCCUAACAGGUAAAAGACCGAUGGAUGAGACGUUCAUUGAGGAAGGGACUAAACUGGUGACCUGGGUAAGGUCCUACAGAACUCUCUACAAUUUUGUUUUUCUUUAGUGGUUGAAAGCAUUGGUUAAUUUACACUAAUCUGGCCCCGUCCGAGAAAUUAACAACACCAACAACAAAGUUUCCACCCUUGAAUUUUAGAAGACUCUUAACCAUUGUCACAAAGUACCCCUGUGUUUUCUCAAAGUUUGCUCAGAAGAAGAUCUAAUUAUCAAUGUUCUCAAGUCUUGCUUCUAUUCUUUGAAUUAUCUGGUUAUCCACCAUUCCUCUACACUAUCCAGUAUAUGACUUCCAACAUUUUUGUUGAAAGAUGGGCCUUGUAAAUGGUUUUCAGCAUAAUCUCAUGGCUAAAAAUCAUGUCCAGUGGAUUUGGUUUACAACAAGACAACCAUUUUGUCCACAAAUUUUCCUUACCCUCUCCUACUGUCUCUCAAUUAGGGUAAAAUCUUAGCAAUCUGAUCACCCUAGUUUCUGUUUGUAACCAACCUUGCAUUACACCCCACAAGUCUCAGAGGAAAAUCCAUUCACAAAAAGUGAAAAAAGGCCAAAAAGAAAGUGUAAGUGAUCGUACUUGAAACCGACACUUUCUAAAUAAGGCUUCUAGUCCACCCAAUACACAAGCAGCAGUCAGUUCAAUUAACACAUUCAUGAAAUCUAGCCUUACAGAUUCAAUGAAUUUGUUCCUUAUAUGCAUAAACCUGGAUCAUUGAUUAGCUGCCUUUCACCACCAACUAUUUGUAAAAACUCUGUUGAGAAGUUUGAGCCUACCAGAGCCAGAGUAUUAUCCUGCACUUCCCUACUUCCAUCAAAAGGAAACUUCUAAUGUUUCAACAAAAUGUGACAGGACCCAAAUAUUCUUGGUAGUCUGGCUUUGUGAAACCAACACACACUGUAGUACAAGAUCUUCCACCAUUACACUUCAUGCCAACCUACACUAGUACACUAGUUACUCUUAUCUGUAUAUAAGCAUAAAUGCAUGCACAAAUACAACAGAUUAGUUUUGGGUUUUGUGGUGUUCUCUUGAUCUUUUAGCCUUAGACUUCGUCCACAAACAAGAUUUGACAACAAUAAUGUGCAUACUGAAACAGGUGAAAGCAGUUGUUGAUGAGAAGAGGGAAGAGCAAGCAAUUGAUUGUAAUUUAGAUUCAUGUCCUGUGGAAGAAGUCAACCAAGUAUUCUAUGUUGCACUAACAUGCCUAGAAUCCGAGCCAUCAAAGCGACCAACCAUGGCUGAGGUUCUCAAGAUGCUUGAGGAGAUAAAAUCAAAUAAACAUGUUUCCUAAUGUAACACUUGCAUUGCAUCAUGCUUUUGACAACAAAAAGGUAUCGAGACAAAAGCUCUCAUUAUCCUCAAAAACAAUGAACUUACCUAGUUAUAGUAUAAAAAAGGGAUGCAACCACCCACUCCACACGCUUUAAAAUUUGAAAAUAAUUCAGAAAUUUGCAAAUAAUUCUAUUUUGCAUGGUGUUAAAUGUAUGUAAACACCUGGCAAUUGAGGCAAUCAAUGACAAGAAAGAUAUAGUAGGAUUCAAAUGGGAUUUGCGUCUUGAGGAAACAUAGAGGAUAACAUAGGCAGAAUGGAUGAGGUUCAUUAUCCUAGGACUAGGAGAUAUGACCACCCUCAUUCAAUUUUUCUAUUCAUAUUCCAAUUAUUACCGUUCCAUUUUUUAAUAUUUUCAAUAUAGCUUCUAGGAUUAAUAAAAUCAACGAAGAAUAUUGAUUCAGGCCUAAAACUAUUGAUCAAUCUCCUUUAAUCUAAUUCCAGUAUCAUCCCCUUACAAUGAUUCUCAGAGUAUAAAAGUCGUGGUUUGAACACACUCAGCUCAAAGAACUACAACAUGAUUAAUGGAAGUAUAAGGGCCAUCGGCACGCCUGGCCUUUAUUCCCACUUUUAUAGGUAAAUCUUUAAUCGAAGUCCAAUGCCAUCAACCAUCUAAAAGCCUUAAAUUUUCUAUUCUCAGUAGGAAAAAAAAAAAAAGAGAGAAGUCGUUCUCUGAUGAGAAAUGAAUUACAGACACACACAGCUGGGAAGAGAGAGGUACCAUGUAACUAUGCACACACGAAGAAGGAAGAGAAAGAGAGUUGAAGGGGGAAAAUGAGAAGUGGUUGACAACCUGAUUUUCACUCUGGUGAAAGGAUGCCCAAGAACUCCUUGAUGAAACAUGUCCAAACAGCCACGAUGUAACAAUCUCUUCCAAGCAUCUUCGGCCCAAGGGAAGAACACAAGAUUUGCGGGAAUGAGGAGGGUGGGUGGAACAAGAAGUGGAUAAGAACUUGAUCUUCAUUAUGGAGAAAGAAGUGGAUAACAAGUGAACAACUUGAUCUUCAGUCUGGUGAAAGGACUCAAAGGAACCCCCCAAAACUAACUCCUCGAUGAAACACAGAAAGAACCAUGGGUAGAACAGUCCCUGCCAAGCACAUUCCGCCGAAGGACAGAGCAUAAGAUUAGUGGUUGGGACUAGUCAAAAAAUAAGAGAAAAUUAGAGGAAUGAAUUCUGUAUUUGAAAGUGGUUCAGCACACAGACGGCUGACCCCAAAACAUACAAUUUAUAUGGCCAAGAAGAUUGCACAAAGGCAGGGUUUCUGCACCACAGCAACGCUAUACAGUAGGUAUCGUAUAUGAGAGAAAGUCACAAAACACAAGGGAAAUUUUGGCACAAUUAGAGGGACAUGGCAUGGUUGAGUGGAAGUAGUUGAGAGUCUGAGACUUGUAUAACUCUAAGAACCACAAUCUUGCUCUCACCCCAACAACGCACAACAACCUCCACCCCUCACAAACACACGCACAGACGAAAUCCCCCUUCUCUUUUCUACUUGUAAAUCUGUCUACACCUUAUCAUCCAUCUAUACAUAUCUCUAGACUAGUUCCAGUAUCUUCGAUUAUGUGGACUCCUUUAGUUAAGUUCUCAAGUGUUGCAUGUCGCAUACAGAAAGAUCUCAUGUGCAUGAGAGAGAGAGUAAUUGAACAAGCGUGAGUCGUCCAUUUCAACUGAGUUUGGUCAUUAGAUGUAUGAUAUGAUUUGAAUAAACUCAAACCUAAAAUGUCAGAUGGAAAAAUACUUUCAUACAACAAUUUUUGCUCAUUUUCUUGUUUCCAUGUGCACAAGGAUAAGGAAAUGGGUCAUGGCCAUCAAGUAAACCAUGAAACCUUUCAAAAAGAAACAACAAAAUCAACAAGAUAUUAACCAAAAACGAUGACGAUAGUACAAAACCAAAAACAGAGUCCAAAAUAAAUAAGAAAGUCUGCGUCCAGUGGCCAUAUCAUCCCUUGUGAUUGAGAUGCCAUCCCAAGCCACCAUUGGUACCGUGAGCACACACAUCUAGGUGAAGCAAAACUUUGAAUGAUGUACCCAUAUCUCAGUAAUCAGUAGGGGAGAUGACAUCAUCGAUCUUUAAAAUCAUCUUGACAACUUGUGUUGCCAGCAAGAUUUGCUGCUGCUUCCCUAUGAGAGUCUCAAAGACAUUUUGCUCACGCAUAUCAUAUGUGCCAACAUCAUUGCAGUCAAUCCCACAGUAGGCAUUGUUAUCCUGCAUAUCAAAUUGAAAUUUUCAUUUUAAAAUCAAUAACCAUUAUGAAAGUGCAUAUGUUUCAGAGUGUGCACACAAGGGUGUGUAUAUGCAUGUGCAGAUCUGUGCGUGUGUGUGUGUGUGUGUGAGAGAGAGAGAGAGAGAGAGAUUUAAUCAGAAGCUCCAGGUCAGAGUGAAAUUAGCUGCCAUAUCUCACGCAUGAUUUUACCUUAAUUUGCUGAGAUUUCACUGCAGAUAGGGUUUCGAUGGGUUGGAGGCCACUAUUCUCUGCAAGUGCCAUGGGAAUUGAAUCCAAAGCAUCUCCAAAUGCCCUGAUAGCAUACUGUAAACCAACCAGGCAAAUAAUUAUUACUAAAACUACCACUAAGGGUAUAAAAGACAAGAGUAACAUCUUCAUACCUGCUCAACUCCUGGAUAUUUAUCAGCAGCUGCCUCUACAGCAAUAGAGCAAGAAAUCUCAGCUGAGCCUCCACCAUACACAAUAGAAUUAUUGCGAAUGAUAUUCCUAGCCACACACAGUGCGUCAUGGAUGCUACGCUUUGUCUCCUCUAUUAUCAUUUUGUUACCUAAUGCACCAUCAAACAGCAGAAUCUUGUGUAAGAUCGUUUGAAUGCCUUUAAGACCAUUCUUUCUCAGUUUUCAACUAUUUCUUUCUAAUAAUUCUACCAUUCAUUAUUGUUUUUUCUCUUCUCCUUUUCCCCAUUUUUUUAGUUUUCGUAUCCUAUCUCUCACUCUUCUUCUUCCCCCACCCCCACCCCCACCCAUGGAAGUUACAGACCAACCAGCUCCUAUGAGAGGAGAGGAGAUAUAGCAAACCUCUGUCUUUCCCCCUCUCCUUCUCCCUGUUUGCCCUCUCUCAUGCUUUCUUACACAACCACACAAAACUAUUUAUAGCCGAUGCCUACCACACAACACGGGUUUUUUUAAGAAGUUGUAGUCCUGCUAAGAGUUAAUUUGAGUAAGAAUGAGUUCACUCUAGUUGGGAGGUCAAAACCAUAGGUUUUUAUUUUUUACCAAUUAUCUUCAGAUGCAAAGUAAGGAAACUUCCUACUUUGUAGUUGAAUUUGUAGUCAGUAUCUUCUUUUAAAGAAUACCAUGUGCCAGGAUGGAAAAAGGUUUAAUGGAUGAAAAAGACUUUUUAUCUUUCAAAACUCAUAGUUCUUGGUUAAGUCACCUGACCAUUUUCAUGGUAUUUUCAAAAUUCCAGUGUCAGCAUCUAAUAGAUUGAAAUGCUUGCAAAGAAGUUUCAUAUGGACUUGUGAGGUGUUGAGUUCAAUUUUCAUUUUAUUUAUUGGAAUUUAUUUUCCCUGGGAAGAUCUUUGAGAGUGAUUACCUGUGCUCUCUUAGGCAAAAGGCUUUGGAGGUUUGUAAUAGAGAGCAAGUUUAUGAAGACAGAUGAUGGAUUGAAAAAAAAAAAAGCAUCCAAAGAGGGUAAUUGGAUGUUUACAAAAGAAAGGGAGAACUAUAAUCAUUGUAGCCUUCAAUGGUUUUGGCAAGGACACUAGGGAUGAAAUGCUCUGGCAAGCACAUUGCUCUCUAUCAUUUAGGUCCUAUGAUUAAAGAUAAAUACCCAUAUCUUAGAGGACAAAUAUAGAUGUACAAAUGAUUAAUCAUGAAGGCUUCUCUAUGCCUGUGAGUCUGAUUAUGAUGGACGUGAGGGAGAGUACACGAUUAACAGGAGAAAGAUUGGGACCAUGAUGAACUCUAUCUUGCUUUUAGUUAAAUGAUUAGAGAACAUGUCAGUGUUCUUGCAGAGGCUUUAUGCGUCAAAUCUUAAUAAGGACAAGGACAGUCUUGAAUGGAGACUCAGAAAAACAAAACUUCAUGAUAAAAUUUUCCUAUAGCCAUAUAUGGAUCGGAUCAUGGGAGUUUGGACGAGCCUAUUCCUUUCCUGCCCAUGUGUGGACUGCAGGAUUCAUCUGCUGUUAAAGUGGAGGGCCCAUUAUUUUGACAACAAAGAAAUAAGUUUCUUAAUCAUUUUGUUAGUAUGGGUAAGGUUGGUUCUUACCACAUCAUUAUUGGAUCACAAAUUGAGGGAAGAGUAGGAGGAUUACCUAGUAAUCCAUUGGAUAGUUGCUUAGAGCUUUAGAAUUUCAUUAUUCUUUAUUUGGCCUAUGUUGAACUAUGCCUACAUCAAUUUUGGACUUCAUUCAGGGUUGGUGAACCAAGACCUGCAAUGCAAGGGAGAUUAAUUGGGAAACAGCACCAGUUUGUGCACUUCAGUGCUUCUGGAAUAAGACACUGUAAAAUCAUUGAGACCUUUUUCCAAUGAACUUCCUCCUUACUCUCUGAGUUAAAGACUUUCAUUUUUAUUUUUAUUUUUAACUUUGUAGAUUUGUCGAUUUCCUUGUCUUGUUAUAGACUUCCCUUUCAGGAUUUCGCAUAUUUGUACCCCUUAUCAUCCUACUUUUUUCCAUUUCUUGGGUGCUUUUUAUACAUCCCCGUGUACCAGAUUUGUCACAUAACGAAUUUUCUUACAUCCCUCCACCCCCACUAACACACACAAAAAAGGAAAAGAAAAAGGUACAAGGUUGGUGUUUAAUGUCAAUAUCUAACCAUUAUUUUCUAGAAAUGUUAACAACUAUCCUUUACCCUUCAAACAAGGACAAGUCACAAACAGCUUGGCCAUAACAAAAAUUCACACUUUAAUUGAUAGCCAUAACUAAAAUGGCUGACAUGAUUAUUAAACAAUUCAUGUACUAGCCUUUUAAAGCACAACCAAACAGCACUGAGCUAUUCCUGCUGGCUCACAACAUGGAUAAAAUCAUCACUCUGAUCAAAUAUGCAAGGAAUACAAAAUAAUAAUUGAUCAAACUAGAAUGCAGAAAAUGUCAUCUCUUUUCCCAAAUGUAGUGUUUUAGAUGUGCAAGCAAGAAUUAGUUUGAUAAAAUGGGUCACUUGGUAAAAUCAACAAAGCUAAACCUUAUGCCAAAUUACAACAGGAGAACCCAGAACAUGCCAAAUGCAAAAUUAACAAGUUAAUAGCUUAGCUAAACUUACCAGCUAGUAAAAUCAUUUACCAUCAGGGAUGAUGGUAUCUAACACAAUUCUCUAAAUCUAACAGAUUAUAUCUCGAUAAUCAGAAAAAAAAAAGAAGAAAGAGAAAAAUAGGAAUGUAAUAAACAAGCAAAUAAUGCGCCAUUCAUAUAUGAUAUAACAACUAAUUAUAAAGCAUUUAAAUGAAAUAUAUAUACAAAAUGAACAUAUUGCAUUCUACUUUUUAACUCCAGACCACAAUGAAUAUUUUGCUCAGAUGACAACUCACAGCAUUAUAAACCAAUAUAAUAUGUCAAAAGAAACAAAAUGAUCAUUACAGAAAAAAGGGAAGAAAAAACAUAAGCCUACCACCACGAACAAAUAUGGUUACAGCCCUUGAAUUUGCACAGCGUUCAAUAUACAGCAUUCGGUCUUUAGUGGUACCAAAUGAUUUUUCUCGAACCAAACCAGCCUAAAUAAAUAACAUGGAAUACUAUAUCAGUGUUUCUGGUGCCCACAAAGUACAAGCACAAUUUAAGAGGAUAAAUUACAAAUAUCAAGUUGAGAGUUCAAUAUAAAAUAAUAUACAUAAAAUUCAAGUCACAGAUUCUUAAUGAUCAACAAACUUCUCCGAAGAGUUUGGCUAUUAUAAAAAAGAAGAAAAACUAAUAUAAUUAAAAAAAAAAAAAAGAUAGUCAAGUGAGAGUAACAAUAAUAAAUGAUGAUAGUUUGAGUGUCAUUCUAAGCAAUUAUAAAAUAAGAUACUAGCAUCAGAUGUGAAACAAUGCAAAAAAGAUGUGGCACCAUGAGCAACAAGCUCUUCUAAGGAGUCACUACAUAGAUCUUCACAAUUUAGGCAACAUGUAAGGAAGAUUGUAAACACACACGGCAGAGAGCUGCAGGCAGUAAUUGGAUGUAUCUGUGCAUGUGACAGUCAGGAGAUUGAAGAUGGUGCAGGAGGCUCAUUAUGGAAGAGUGAACACUCAUCCAUCAGGCCCACAUCACAGAAUGAUCAUAAUUCAUACAAACAGAUUUUUUUUUUUUUUUUUGAUAAGUAAAAGAAGUAUAUUAAACGAAAAGAGGAAACACCAAAAACCGGUGCCCUCUAAGUAUACAGGGAGUAUACACACCACCUUCCCUAACUAGGAGCCUAUCCAAUCUACAAAACUUACAAGAGAAGAAUGACUCUCUGCUAGGGAACCCCUGACCCAUGACCAAAGAUUACAUACAAAAGAAUAUUUCAACCUUUGAAGCAAAAGAUCCUCAUCCCCAAACGCUAGGUUAUUUCUCUCCUUCCAAACUGACCAAAAAAUACAUAAAGGCACCAUUUGCCAAGCCUUCUUGCGUCUUUUCCCCACGAACCCUCCAUUCCACCCAAGAAGGGUUGUCUUCACUGUACACGAAAGAGUCCAAGAUAUACCAAAAAGGGAGAAAAGGAGGUUCCAUAGGACCCGCGUCUUGACACAAUGCAGUAGGAGAUGAUCCACUGUUUCUUCUUCAGAUAGACAAAGAAAGCACCUAUUUGCCAAAGAGAACCCCCUCCUUUGAAGUUGCUCCUGUGUUAAAACUUUACCCCAAGAAGCCUCCCAAGCAAAGAAAGCUACCUUGGGAGGCACUCUUGCCCUCCAAAUUCUUUCGCUAGGGAACAUAGAAAGGCCCCCCGGCUCCAUCAUAGAAUAAAGGGACCUAACUGAGAAAGCCCCAUCAUUUGAAGUUGUCCAGAUCACUCUAUCUUCCUCCUCCCUUUGAACCCUGAAAGCUUGGAUCUUCUUCAACAACCACUCCACUAAAUCAAUCUCCCAAUCAUUAAACGCCCUUGCAAAGAGAGGAGUCCAACCAACCCCAUCACCAACAGGAUUCCAAACCUCCGAAACCCAAGCAUUCUUCGACAUGGACAUGGAAAAAAGAGAGGGGCAAGACUCACAAAGAGGCCCAUAACCACACCACUUGUCUUUCCAAAAUUUCACUAUUUGCCCAUUACCCAAAUGGAAAGCUACCCUGCCAUCUAACAGCCCCCACUUCUUCCUAAUUGCUUUCCAAAGCCCAACUCCGUUUCUUCCCAUCACAUCCCGAGUACACCAGCCCCCCUCCUCUACGCCAUACUUGAGGCUAAUUACACUCCUCCACAACGCCUCUCUCUCAUUAGCAAACCUCCAAUUCCACUUACACAAAAGGGCGCUAUUCAUCAAAGAUAAAUUUCUCACCCCUAGCCCACCUUUUCUUUUCUCCAAGCAUACCAAGUUCCAUCUUACAAGGUGAGGUUUAUGGGCUAGAGCUCCCCCACCCCACAGAAAAUCCCUCUAAAUUUUCUCCAAUCUCAACCUCACUUUUCUAGGCAAAUAAAAGAGAGACAUCAAAUAAAUAGGCAUACUGGACAUAGUGCUUCUGAUUAGGGUGAGUCUUCCCCCUUUAGAUAUGUACCAUCUCUUCCACAUAGCAAGCCUUCUACGAAAACGCUCUUCAACCCCAUCCCACACAACCAAAGAAUUGAAAGCUGCCCCUAAGGGCAUUCCCAAAUAACUAGAAGGAAUCCCUCCCACUUUACACCCUAACUCCAAAGCCAAACCCUCUAUCUAUAUUCAACACCCUUCCCACCGGGAUCAUCUCACUCUUCUCUAAGUUAAUCCUCAAACCCGAACACGCCUCAAACCACAUGAGAAGUCAGCUUAGAUAAGUCAUCUGAUCUGAAGACUCCUCACAAAAAACCAACGUAUCGUCCGCAAACAACAAAUGCGAUAUUUGCAUCCCCUCACCCCUCCCACCACUCACCUUCCACCCAGAUAAGUAGCUCCCACUAAUAGCCCUUCUCAUCAUACUACUGAAAACCUCCAUGGCGAUCACAAACAAAUAAGGGGAAAGGGGAUCUCCUUGUCUUAACCCCCUCGUGCUUUGAAAAAAACCGGAUGGAGAACCAUUAACUAACACGGAGAAUUUCACAGUGGAGAUGCACCAAUCAAUCCACUUUAUCCAUCUCUCUCCAAACCCCAUCUCUUUAAGAACAGCCAACAAAAAGCUCCAGCUAACACGGUCAUAAGCCUUCUCUAUAUCCAACUUGCAUAACACCCCUCCCACAUUGUCUUUCAACCUUGAGUCCACAACCUCGUUUGCAAUCAACACUGCAUCCAAAAUUUGUCUACCCUCCACAAAGGCAUUUUAAGACUCUGAGAUCACUUUCCCCAUCACCUUUUUAAUUCUAUUGGCCAACACCUUGCCCAACAACUUGUAGAGGCUGCCUACAAGGCUGAUAGGCCUGAAAUCUUUCAAAUCUUCAGCACCUCCCUUCUUUGGAACUAAGACAAGGAAAGUUGCAUUUAGAGAUUUUACAAAUCUGCCCCUCUCAUGAAAUUCCUUGAAGAAGCCCAUUAUUUCAACCUUUACUAAAUCCCAACUGAACAACCAAAAAGCCAUGGUGAAGCCAUCCAGGCCGGGAGCUUUAUCCUUGCCUAGAUCUGAAAGUGCCGCGAACACCUCCCCUUCCGUAAAGGGAAUUUCCAGCCCCUCAAUACCAGGACGCCACCGCCCUUCUUCGGUAUACAAAUUAUUAAAAGCUCCCACCACACUAUUUUUUAAAUCUAACUCCUCCGUAUGCCAACAAUCAUCCACUUUCAGCCUAGACAACCAGUUCCUUCUGUUAUGCGCAUUUGCCAUCCUAUGAAAGAAUCUGGUAUUAUUGUCCCCUUCCUUCAACCACAAUUCCCUCGAUCUCUGUCUCCAAGAAAUUUCUUCCCUCAACACCCAUGUCUUAUAAGCCUCCUUAGCCUCCUUCCUUGCUUCACAAUCCUCCAAACUCAGAUAUACGUGUGCCACACUUUGCAGUGAAUAUGAGGUGUUGUCAUACAUGGGAAAUUGCCAACAGCUAGACAAGAGAACCAUGCAAAGCAGUCUCUAAUAUUUAAUGUAAAAUAUACUAGCCCUUAGUUAAUGAGCAUCAAUGCAUUACAAUCAUAAACAUCAGGGAAAGGAUUUUAUCAUGUGACAAAAAAAUACAUAACGAACACAUUCUUACAAACUCUUUUCCAUUAAGAUACAAACAGAACUGGCUUGUGAAGUCCAAAUCAGUAUUGAAGAUCUGUGGAUAUGGGAACCAUGCCAACAGAUGGAACAGUAAUUGUUGAUGCAACAAAGGGUCCUAUGAAUCACAGCUCACAUCUCGCUUUAAGAGCAGGAGAAAUAGUUCAGAAGUCCACCCAAGUAAAAUCCUAAUUGCACUAAAAGGUAUACCCAGUACAUCUUAAAAUGACUAUAGAGAUGGAAGGGAUGAACAAUAAGAGGGUGGAGGUAAUUCCAUUUAUUGUUAGUAGAUGAUACCCUCAUUUUUUGGUAAUACAUGUCAAGAACUGAUAUAUUUGAGUGGGCUUCUCAUGUGGGUUGAUGCAGUUUAUGGGCUGAAAAUUGAUUUGGAGAGGAGUGACAUAAUUCCCAUGUGGGGUGAGGUGGGGGGAAAACUGCAAUGAUCCUGAAUGCAGGGUAGACAAAUCUUGAAUACAGUUUCAAUCACUAAUGACACUAUAGAUUCUAGGAAAAAAAGCUUGAAUGCAAGUUCAGUGUGCAAGUAGGACAUAGAAAAAAGAUAUCAUCACGUGAACUGAAAUUUUCUCCAUUCAAUCAUGGAUAAAUGGGUUUUGGGAGAAAUUGGUUGAGAUGGGUGUACUUUUGUAUUAUCUAUAGUGAGAUUCUCAAUAUUGGUCAAUGGCACUCCCAAAGUCUUUCCAAGGUUUUAGACGGGUAGGGUGACGCUCUUUCCACUUACCUCUUUGUGUUCACCAUAGAAGCUCUUUGCUGUUUCAUUUUAAAAGCAAGAGAAGUGGGCCACAAAAGUGGUUUUAAGAUAGGUGAGAGAGAAGAAGAGAGGAUGGAAGUCCUUCAUAUAUUAGUUGCAGAGGACACACUACUAUUUUGUGAGGCCACUGUGGAGCAUCUCAGGUGCUGGAAAUGGAUGCUAAUAUGUUUUGAGCAUGCGUCAUGUACAAAAAUCAAUUUACAAAAAGGUGAAUAAGCUCUUGUUAGUGAGGUGUUUGAGAUUAAUAGAUUUGCCUAUUUGUUUGGCUGCAAGGUUGGUUGCAUUCCUACUACAUAUCUUGAUUUGCCUGUAGAAGCAUCUCAAAGACUUAGUGGCAUGUAGUACUUAGUUGAAAAAAGAUUUUAAAAAAAAUAAAUCAAUUAAUCAAUUAAUUAAAACUAGCCUCUUGGAAAAGAUAGUAUCUAUCAAAGGGAGAUAAGAUUAAUCCUUACCAAGAACAAUUUUUUGAGCCUUCGAAUUUUUAUGUCUUUAUUUGUAAUUCUUAGAAAAGAGAAUAUUAAACUGGAAGAUAUCUAGAGAGAUUUUUUUGUAGAGAAAUCGCUUAGAGGGGAAACAAUACAUCUUCUUAAAUGGAUGAUAGUUUGCAAGUAUAGAAAGUAUGUUGGGUUGAGACUUAGGAAGUUGGAUGCCUGAAAAAGAUGUGACUUUGCAAAUAGUUUUGAAGAUAUGCUCAUGAGCAUGAUAGUUUGUGGAGGAGAAUUAUAUGAGGUAAGUAUGAUGAAGAGGAAGGAGGUUGGUGUAUUAAAGAAGUGAGAGGCUUUCUAGUGUGAGAUGUGAAAAGACAUGAGGGGGAGGAAAUAGUUCAACCCAAAACUUCCAUGUCAAGAAUAGUAGAAGGACCAGAUUUUGGUUAGGUAACUAGGUAGGGGAAUGACCUCUACAAAAGUCGCUAGUGGAGAAAGCUCUUGAGCUUCCCUUCAUUCAUUGCUAAGCCAAGGUCCCAAGUCUCUAAGUCAACCUAUGCUUUUUCGAGGAAUCUUGAACCCAUGGGCAUACGGCCUAACAAACCUUCCCUUUUUGUCAACUUCAUGGGUGUUGCCCCGUUCCCAAAUCUUUUUCAUUGACAACUUCAAACUAAUCAAUCGAAUGCUCAUUAAUACAUAAUCGAUUGAGCACUACUUGAAAAUGGCCCUUCUGCUUAGAAACGAAAUGAUCCAAAUGUUCCUAGAAAUUCUUGUUCCCAUUAGUGGCCAAAAUGCCAAGCUAGAUUUAUAGCUAGGUAGAAUAAAGAGAGGCCUCAAGCCCUUCAUCCAUCAUUUUUUUAAACCACACGUCCCCCUGAAAAUUUAAAGAAUGAGUAUACCAUCUUUUAUAUAAAGCUUUUAGUGAAAAGAGCCUUAAAUAAGCUUUACCUAUGUUGUUUAGCAUAGCCUCUUCCAAAAACAUUAUAGUUACAUAUCUAUGAGAGGAAUAGGAGAAUGGAGGUCAUUGGUCCUUGGGAGUUUAAAGAUUGGGAAAUGGAUGGAGUGGGUCAAUUUUUUAAGCCCUUAUUUUUUUUUUGAUAAGUAAAGCAAUUGUAUUAAAAGUGCCUAAAGUAUACACGAUGUAUACAAGGCCAAAAAAGAGGAGGCAUAGACAAUUUUUUAAGCUUAUUAAAGUUGUGAGCUUACAAACAAAAGAGAAAUAUAGUGUAUUGGGGAGGGAGGAGAAAAAAGAGAGAUUUUAGGUAAAAUCCAUCUACAAAUGCUUAUGUGCUAAGGCUAAAGAGUUGUUUCCUAUUCAAGAUGUUUAGGGUAUUAGUGCACCUUUGAGAACCCCUUUUUUUCUUUUUUGGGGGGUUGGGGGUGGGGGUGUUAGGUUUAUUAUAAUCUUUACAACUAAUGUGAUUAGUAAGUAAAACGACAAUGAUCAUGAGAGAAUCUCACCUAAUUUGGGAACUCUUUUAUUAUCAAUGUGUAGUAUGUAUUUAUAUUUGAGUUUGAUGCUACUCAUCCUAAAAUGUAAAAUAAAAACUACUAUUAUAAAUAUGUUUACUUGAAUUUAGUUAAAGUAGAAAAAUGAAAGUACUUCCUAUGUAGGGCCUUUGAAAAUGAGGGGCAUCUUGUCCAAAGACUUAAACUUUAUUUCCUUUGGAAUAUUUGGACAUGGGCUAAGGUGUAUUUAGUUUCAGGCCUUGUUGAUUUUGUGGAUUGGUUAGGCUUUGUUUGAGGGGGUGUUGUUUUUUGUUGUUCCCUUUUUUUGUGGCGUUCUUAGACAUCCUUUGUAUACUUCUUGUGUACUUUGAGGCGCUUACCUGGAGUGUCCUAUAUUAAUAUAUUGUUUUUUGCCCAUCAAAAAAAAGUAGAAAAAUGAAAGUACCUUUUUCAAAAAAUAAAAAUAAAACACUAAUGUACAAUAAUUUAUUUAAUCAAAGGAUGAUUUUUAUAUCAAAAUAAAGGAAAUUGGUUAAAUAUUUAAUAACCUUAUUUUGAUCACUUUUCUCUUCUUUUUUUACAGAUAAAGAAAAGAAUAUAUUAAAAAGAGGCACCAAAAGUGUGACUCAAGGAAUACAAGACCUAAACACCCACCACCAAAAAGACUCAAACGGAAGACAGAUCUACAAAACAAGAUGGACUAUAACAACCUCAACAAGAGCCUAGCCAAUCAAAGAAUCUAAUUAACGUUAAAGGACAAUCAUCUAUAAACAACUUAGUCUCUAAUCAAAAGAAGCAAACAAAAGAACUUUUUAAUCUUUGGAUUGGGAUCACAUCAUCCUCUAAGGCAAUUUUAUCCCUUGCCUUCUACACCAUUCCAAAGAUGAAUAAUGAGAUUGUUCUUCAAACUUUCUUAAGCUUUUUGCCCACAAACAAACUGUGCCAACCCAAUAAAGUCUCUCUAGCCAACAAUGGAAGCACCCAAGACACCUCAAAAAGGACAAAGAGCAACUCCCAUAAAACCCUAGUUUUUACACAUUGAAUAAGGAGGUGAUCUAUAGACUCUUCAUCCAUAUGGCAAAGAUAACAUCUAUUUGCUAAGGACCACCCUCCUUUUUGAACUUGAUCCAAGGUUAAAACUUUUCCCCAUGUUGCCUCUCAAGUAAAAAAGAUAACUUUAGGUUGCACCCAUAAGUUCCAAAUGCUACUCGUUGGAAAAGAAACAUAGCUACCCAACUCCAAGGCGUCAUAUAGAGACUUCACAAUAAACUUGUCGCUUUUUGUCUCUGUCCAAAACACUCUAUCUUCCACAUCCCUACACACAAUCUUCCUAUAGAAACACACCAAAAAUCUCUCCACACAAUCCACCUCCCAAUCGUUGAAAGGUCUUGAGAAGCAUCCCCCUCCCUCCUUCGAUUAAGAAAAUCCAAACAUCUUCCACCCAUGCCUCCUUAGAGUCAGCUAAAGCAAACAAAGAAGGGAAUGACACACUCAAAGGUGUGUGCCCACACUACUUAUCCUUCCAAAAUUUCACCAUUCGCCCAUUACCGACCAAGAAAAAGAUCCUACCACUCAAAAGGUCUCAAUCCUUCCUACUCACUUUCCCCAACCCAACACCAUACACCUUCCUCACUUCCCAAGAAUUACACCCCCCCACCACACCCCCCACUUUCUUCCUCAUACAUCCCUCUAAUAACUUGAUUUUAAAGGCCUCUCUCUCAUUCCUAAAAUGUCAACUCCAUUUGCAAAGGAGAGUCUUAUUGAUAGUUGAGACACACUUAAUGCCCAAACCCCCUUUCCUCUUGUCUAAGCAAACAAUCACUUAUCUUACUAAAUGUGGUUUCUGCUCAAGGACCCCACCUCCCCACAGAAAGUCCCUUUGAAUAUGCUCUAAAUUCAAUCUAGCAAACACAUAAAAUAAAUGGGAAAGUUAGAUAAAAUACUUCGAAUUAGAGUAAUCAUCCCUCCUUUGGAAAUCUAUUGUCCCUUCCACAUGGUCAACCUUUUAUGAAACCUCUCUUCCACUCCAUCCCAAGUUGCCACUAAUUUAAACGAUGCACUUAAAGGAAGACCCAAGUAAGUGGAAGGGAGACUACCCACCUUACACCCAAGCUCAAAAGUAAGGUCACUUAUAUUUUCUACCCUUCUCAUAGGAAUUAACUCGCUUUUAUCCAAAUUUAUUCUCAACCUUGAAAUGGCCUCAAACCACAUAAGCAACCAACAUAGAUAAGUCAUUUGAUCUUAAGAUGCUUGGCAGAAGACAAGAGUGUCACCAACAAACAACAAAUGGGAAAUCUAAACCCCUUCUCCACUCUUCCCUUCACCUCACAACCUGAUAAAAACCUCCAUCCACUGCCCUCUUUAAAAGGCAACUGAGCGCGUCCAUUGCAAUCACAAAUAAAUAGUGCAAGAGAGAAUCCCCUUGCCUCAAGCUCCUUGAGCUUUGAAAAAAGCCAUUAGGGGUGCCAUUAACCAAAACAAGGAAACUUGUUGUGGAAAUGCAUCACCUGAUCCACCCAAUCCACUUCACCCCAAAACCAAUUUUUUGCAUAACUGAGAGCAGGAAAGUCCAUUUCACAUGAUCAAAAGCAUUAUUUUGGUCAUUACACAUGACAACAACUUGAUAAUCCAUUUUAUCAAGCACUUAAAUUUUACUUUUAAAACCCACAUCACUUUUGAAAUCACAAUUUACUAAAUGCUCAACUGUUUUACAUCAUAGUACUGAAUUGUUUCACAUCACAAUUGAUUUUUUAUUUUUUUUGUUUGCAGCACAACUAAAAACAAUUUUUCCCAAAGUUGCAGCAAUACCAAACUGACCAUAAAGAGGUUUGUCAUUUCACUCCGCUCCACUUGUUUUAGAGAGAGAGUAAUAAUCAUGCGUUCAAUAAAGAAGAGCAUUCAAAUUAAAAGUACAAGGAUAUUUUCAUUAAAUCCCUUUGGGAAUGGUCCAGAGUCCUUUUUUUAAUCGGAAAUGGUACAGAUUCUGGUUGCAUCUGGAAAAUUUUACAUUAUGGAAGUUCAUUGAUAGUCUAAACUGUAAAUAACUAGAUUGUGCUUUGCGUUUUCUUUUUCUUAUUUUUUUUUUCCCCAUGGGUGUUGUUAGAAGCCUUUCAAUAACAAUUUGUUUGCCCAUCAAAAAAAAAAUUAAAAACAAAAACAAAAAUCUUGUCAUAGUUCUUAGAACUUAAUAUUCUUCAGACUCUGAAUCAAAGAAACACUACACUAUCAGCAACAAAAUAAUAUUCAUAUCAAAAGGAGAAAAAAAGCAGGUUAGGGAAAAAAAAUUGUUGAUUCAUACAAUUAAAAAAGAGAAAAAAAAAAAGAAAGAAGCAAAAAUACCUUGCCCAGCUUUUCUGGUGUCAAUUCUUGGAACCUUGGCACAAUUCUUCCACCUACAAAGAGACCAACAGCAUCACUGAACAAGUAAAUACAGAAGAUAAAAAGUCAUAGUAACAGUUUUUGAGUGGUAUAGCAGAACUAACAAUCUAAAUUGGCACCAACCUGUGGCUAUUGCUAUCAGCUCUAACUCCACACCUCCAACCCACCGGACAGCAGGCAAAUUCCUGUGCAUUAAUAAAUGAUUUGCUUCAUCAUCAAACCCCCAUUGGCAGAUAACCAAGGUAGCACCAACAUCCUGAAAUUCAAUAAAAAUAGGGAUCAUAAAAGAAACAUAUAUUUGGCAAAUUAGUCUCCUAUUGCUUCUAAACAACAUUAUAAAUAAACCAUUGUAAUUUUACAAUUAAAAACCAGGUAAUAUAAACUAAUACAUCAGCUUAAUGACAAUAGGUGAUUGAUAUGACAUUCCAAAAAGGAAAAUAAAUCAAACCAAAGGAAAAUUAAAAAAGAAAACAAUUAGAAAGAAAGAUAAAUGAAUUGGAGUCAUAAAAAUGCCAUAGAAUUUUUCAGCAAUUGCACCUUGCAUUUUUGAACCAUGUCAUCAAAGUAUUUCUGCUCUUGGAGACGUAAAGUCUGGAAUUUUUCCACUGUAUCAAUAUCAACCUUAUGCUUAGUUUUUGGCUUAGGUGGCUCAAAGGGGCAUGUCAAAAUAGCAAUUUUUGCAUCUUCAAUAUGCUUGGGCAUUUGUGGAUGGCUCAUAUCCUUGUCAACAACAAUUCCAUGUAUUAACUCAGUAUCUUCCAGUUUUCCACCUACUUUCCCCUCUACUUUAAUUAAAUCUAAGUUAACAUCCCUCCUCUCCAAAUCUGCAACUGCCAUAACUGCUUUAACAGCAAUUUCAGCCAAACUGCGCUUGCAUCGAUUCACACUACAAUAUAAAGAAGAAAAGCAUUACAUUUGCAGUACAGAAACAUAUAAAAGAUAAAGUUAUCUAGAGAAGUUGAGCUAAUAUCAUCAUGCACAUAAGUAGCAAUUACCCUUCCUAGCUUGUCCAUGUUUAUACUUCACAACCCAUUUAUGUCAAUAUGAACUCAAAACAAAAAGUUCAAAGAAUGGAAAAGAGCAGAAAGACAAAUAUUAGCAAAAACCUAAUAAGAUAUUUCCAGGGAUCUUUUGGUUUCUUCAACCACAAUUUUGUAUAGUCAAUACACAAUUUUCACUCUUCACAUCCGCCUCAGCAGAGCCAAAAUAGUUCUAGGACUAUCCUUCCUAAUACUUUUUUCUUUUAUAUAUCAGGAACACACUACAUCAUUUCUAUUAUUAAAAGGGUAAAGAAGGAUGAGACCUCUUUCCAUAAAAAUCUUAUCAAAACAAGAGAAAGAACUCCUUAAAAAAGAGCCAUAUAAGCUGAACAAACAAGAAAAGAUUGCCGAAAAUCUAAGAGUGAAACAUAAAAAACUUUUGCAUCAAUUAAGCUUCAGUAAAUAAGAAGAGCCUAUUUUAGAAAAUAUAAUGUACAUGAUGCCCAAAAAGAGCAAAGCAUACAAUAAAAACUCCCAAGUAUCGCCAACAAUUUAAGCUUACAACUUUGUCUCAGAAGCUAGAAAUUUAAAAAUAAUAUAUAUAUAUAUAUAUAUAUGAAAAGCAAUAGCAGCAAAGAGAAAAGAAGAAAGUAGCUCCAAUAUACAGUGAAUAGCAGGAAAUUGAAGGUGUAUAUCAAGUAAGUUCCCAUAAAUUAAAAUGAGAACUAUAGCCAUGGUAGGGGGAAGAAAUAGUGCUCUUUGUUGGUUUUUUUUUUUUUUUUUUUAGUAAUGCUCUUUGCUUAUAUUAUGCCAACCAGAACCCAAAACUAUGAAAUACAAAAACUAUUCAAUUCUUAAUUGGACUAUCAUUUCACCUUUAGCUUUAGCUUAUUUCUCAAUAUUGACAACAAUUGAAUUCUUAAUUGGACUAUCAUACAUACAUACAUAUAUAUAUAAGAGAUAUAACUAAAAAAGAAGUCAUAUGGUUGAGACACAGAAAAUCAAACAAUUAAGCAAAAAUCUUAGACGAGUCUCUUCAUACUAGUUCCAGUGACUCCAAUCAGCUAUCUGAUCAUAGUGCAUAGUUGUCUAGGGACACAAUUCUACAGAAACAGAUGCACAGAAGGAGCUAAUUCAGACUGCAAUAGGCACACAGCACACUAUAGUAAGUGGCUCAUUAAGCUAUUUCAUAAUAAAAGACUGGCAACCUGAGGAACUUUAGCCCAUCGAAGCUAGAUAAUACAGCAAGUACAGAGUGAGCUAAACUUCUCACCUAUGGCGCUCCAUGGGUUAAAUUAAUGUACUAGAAGUCUGCUGCUCAAGCUUGAGCUCAAUGAAUCCUCACUAUUAGAAAAAUUAUAGUCAAGUGCAGAGUUGGACUGCCAACAUUUUCAGGCAACUCAUGGAAGAUGACAUUUUCCAUUAUAAUCCACAAACCAGAAGCAAAACCAUAGAAAUAUUAGAAGAUGUUAUGUUGCAGAUACCAUGGACCGGAUAUUAGAUUUGAUAAGGUAUUUUUAGAACCUACAGUGAUGUGCCCUCCAAAUGGGGAGCAGAAGACUUAUUGAGAUGGAAAGCUGCAAUAAGAGGGAAAUUUUGAGUGAAAUCUUUCUAUCAAAAACUAAUGCCUCGAGAUUAAGCUGCUUUCCUAGAUAAAGAAUUACGGAUGUUGACUUCACCAUCAAAGGAAGCUCUUCGGUUUUGGAUAGUCAGGUGAGAGAAAACUCUAACUUUGGGCCAUUCAAGAUGAGAGAGAGGAACAUGAUAGCCUGUGCUAUACAUGUAGAAGGAAGGAAGAAUCAUUGGAUCAUAUGUUGAUUCACUGUUCAUUUUCCUGUAAAUCAUGGUUUUUGCACUUCCUUCAUUUCCUAUUUCUUGGUGCCUCCUGGGAACUUCAAAGAGAUACUCGGUUCACAUGUCAACCUAUUAAGCAAAUAAUACAGAGGUUUCAUGAUGAGUCCCUUAUUUUGUAGCCUGGCACAUCUGCACAGAGAGGAAUAGAAGGACCUUUGAGGGGAUAGAUCUACUCCUCCCAAAGUCAAAGAAGUUUUUUUUGCACUUGAGCAAUCUUGGGUUGAGGAUUAUUUUUUAGGCAGGAAACACUGCCUAGUGAAUUUCUUCAGUAGUGUGGGUUGUUCUCCAGCAUAAGGAGUGCAGUUUUUCCUCUUUUCUUUCUGCAUAGUGACUGUCAGUACAGUGUGAAUAUGCUCCUAGCGUACAUGUAUUGGACCCUAUUCGGUGCCUUUUGGAUUAGUUCCUCCAUUUACAUAUGAAUUUUACAAGAUAUUUUGGCACAAUGAGCCCAACAUGCAGGCAAAACCUACGAUAGAGGAAGGAUGUCAAAUCUAGUGCAGACUGCUAGAAACAGAAAGUAAUUUUCACAUUGUAAAAAAAGGAAAAUUAAGGCAGAAAUUUUCAAUGAUAUUGCUGUACGUAACAUUAUAAUGCCACAAGUCAUCAUUGAAGAGCAUGGAGAUCCCAUGAUGGACUAGAUGGAUGGGGGAGUGAACUUACAUCUUGGAUGAUAGAGUGGUCAUGCAAGUUUGAACUAAAGGUUCUAUAUUUGUUACUCCAAACUCAAACUUUUGAGCAAUGUGUUCCAAAUGUUCAACAGCUAUCCUACAAGCCAUUUCAUAGCCCUCUGCAACCCGAAUAGGAUGAAUCCCACGUUCAAGUAGCCCCUCAGCCUGCUCUAGAAGUGCACCAGCCAAAACUACAACUCCUGUUGUGCCAUCACCAAUUUCAUAAUCUUGGCUUCGAGAUAGCUCAACCAUCAGCUUCGCAAUUUGAUUGUCAACAUCCAUCUGCUCCAAUAUUGUUGCACCAUCAUUCGCUAACAAAACAAAUAAAAGGUGAGUGAAGAUCAUAGCUGAAGAAUCAAACCAUGGAACAAUGGUAUAAGAUGGUCUAUGUCAGGUCAUACAACAGCAGAACAAUUAUGCAUGAAUGGGAAUGUAUAAUCAUUUGCCAUCAUGUGAUGACCACACAAAAAGGUUUCAGCAGUCAAGAAGCAAAAAUUGAAUAAUGGGUCAAGAACUGAUACCACAUUCAAAAGGGGAAUGAACAAUGUGUUUGGAGUGGGGUAGAAAUAAAGUAUUUGCUUAAACUGGAACAAAGUGUUUGAAGAAAUUGAAUGCAACAGUGGGGUUUCUCAAUACAGAUUACAUUUCCAUCUUAAGUGGCAGAAUUUGUAUGAAAUUCAUCAAGUUUUAUCUUCAUUCUUUUUAAACAAAGUCAAAAGGUCCCUGGAAAAGUCCUUCAUAUUUAACCUCUUCUCAGAUGCCAAACAAAAGAAAGUAAAAAACCAAUUCUUUAAUUUUUUUUUCCUUUCCCAAUAAUUAAAUUACUUUCCCUCAUUUGAUUCCAAACAGGGUAGAAAGAAUUGCAAAAAAUAAAAAAUAAAAAAUAAAUGAGAAGACUUGGGG
rnacentral:lncRNA from 1 species